rnacentral:lncRNA from 1 species
CAUGAUUGUGACAAGAACCUAGAAGGGUUAGUAAACGAAAAGUGACACUUUGACCUAGAUUUAGCAAGUGACAUUGACGAGUCUAGAACCCUUAGUAAACAAGUGUGGCAUUUGGCAUGAGGUCAAGAAUAUAGCACUUAGAGAACAAGUGUGGCAUGAGUACAAGAACUUGAUAGUGUAAAUGACACAAGUGAUAGUGAAGAAUGAUUGAGAUAAUAGGACACUUCAACCUUAGUGUACGGGUCAUUUGAGCAUGGUUUUUCCUUAAAGUCAAGGAAUGGAUUGAAUUUGAAUCCUCGAAUGUAGGAUUGAUCGUACUCACUUUUAGUCCUUACUCGAGGUUGUGAUAGCUCCCCCUCGGGCGAUGUGCUCUGGAGUCGACAUCACUGGGUUGUAGCGAGUAUCUCCCCAGAGGACGGUCCCAUCGGGUUGUAGCGAGUAUCUCCCCGAUUAUUGGAAUUUUGAGUUGGUGAGUUUAUUGAGGGCGAAACCUACGGGUUAGCCAAGAGAUUGGGUAUUGGCACUAUGACCUUACAUUCAUCAUGAGCAUUACAUUGUGCAUAUCAUUUUAUAUUGUUCAGGCAUAUUAGUUGCAUUUGCUAGUUGGUUACUUACUUUCCUUUAUUCUAAUAUGCCUGAUUAGACCUAGUGGGAUAGUCGGUGUGGUUGGUUGCCGAACCCACUGGGAACUUUGUUGUAGUUCUCACACCCCUAUUUCCACAGAGCCGGGACCCAGCGAGCCGGCGAACGAUCGCAGUAAGGGCAUCGCGUCCUAGGUAGAGACCGCCCGAGAUGUUUAUUUACUAUAGUUGCAUACCCCUUUUAUUAUAUCAUCUUUUGUACUUUGAUGAUUUAGUUGUUAAAGGAAAGAACAUGUAUGAUGUAAAAGAUCCUUAUAUUUAAAUGAAAGAAUGAAACUUUGAGAUCCUGUAAUGUAAAAGAAAAGAAAUGAUGUAAAGAUUGUAAUCCGUUCUUAAGUGUAGUUGUUUACUUUCACUCUUGGCUAUUGCUCGCCCUCGUGCAAGCCAUUAUGUAUGCUUCCGUUUUGUGCAAAAUUCAUACUCUAUUGAUACUUGUUGUUGAGCCUUGGGCGGACAGGGGAGGCUCUGUCCGUUUGGCGUCUGUUCGACGCACUCGAACCGGCCAAAAAGGAUCGGGCUCGGGGCAUGACAGCGGAGGCGGAAACAGUCCGUCUCGCCUCUUACCCUCAUACUCUCGCCCUUGCCCUUGCCCUCGUCCAUGCACCCCCCACCUUCCUCGCCUCUGACCCAGCCAAGGCCGCGCCGCGACUUUUUUUUUUUUGCUUUUUUCUUUUCCUUUCUUCUCCGACUCUUCUCCACAGUCUUCGACGACGACGCCUCUCUCGCCCUUCCCCGCCCUUCUCAUCUCUCCGUUUCCCUCAUUUUCUGCCGCCUCUGACGACGAUUUAUCUUCGCCGGCGCCGACGUCGACACCGUAGAGGUCACUGCGGCGCUACAGUCUCGGAGCGGGGGGUCCUUAGCGGCGUCGUAGCUGUUGGCAGAGAAGGUGACAAAAAAAACUUAUAGAAAAAACAGAAAAAAAAAAUAAAGAUAAAAAAUUAUAUAAAAAGAAGGAUGAAGAUGAAAUUGCAUCGUUAAUUACAAAAAAAAUUAUAAGUUGCACUAUUUAAGAUGUAAACUGCUGCUUUAAGAUAAAAAUUAUUCUAUUUGAACGAAAAUUACGCUCUUUGGGAGAUGUUUAUACUGUUUCUAUUCUUAUUGCACUCUUUCAGAUGUAAACUGUAAUUAUUAAGAUGAAAAUUACACUCUUUAAACGAAAGUUUCACUGUUUUCCUCUUGUUAUACUAUUUUUUAUCUUAAACUGCAUCGUUUCAAGUGAUAUUUUUACUAUUUCUUCUCUUGUUGCACUGUUUCUCCUCUUGUUGCACUAUUUCUCCUCUUGUUUACACAGAAAUGGUGCAACAAAAGGAGAAACAGUGCAACAAGAGGAGAAAGAGUAUAAAUAUCUUUUAAAAGGGUGCAGUUUCUCCUCUUAUUGCAUUGUUUCUCCUCUUGUUGCACUAUUUCUCCUAUUGUUUAUACAGAAAUGGUGCAACAAGAGGAGAAACAGUGCAACAAGAGAAGAAACAGUAGAUAUAUCUCUUAAAACAGUGCAGUUUCUGCUCUUGUUGCACCAUUUCUGGGUAAAGAGAAGAAACAGUAGAUAUAUCUCUUAAAACAGUGCAGUUUCUUCUCUUAUUGCACUAUUUUUUCUCUUGUUUACAUAGAAAUGGUGCAACAAGAGGAAAAACAGUAUAUAUAUCUCUUAAAAUAGUGCAGUUUCUCCUAUUGUUGCACUGUUUCUCCUCUUGUUGCACUAUUUCUUCUCUUGUUUACACAGAAAUGGUGCAACAAGUGGAGAAACAAUGCAACAAGAGGAGAAACAGUAUAAAUAUCUCUUAAAAUGGUGCAGUUUAAGAUAAAAAAUAGUAUAACAAGAGGAGAAAUGGUGCAACAAGAGGAGAAACAGUGCAACAAGAGGAGAAACAGUGCAACAAGAGAAGAAACAGUAGAUAUAUCUCUUAAAACAGUGCAGUUUCUCCUCUUGUUGCACUAUUUCUCCUCUACAAGAGAAGAAACAGUGCAACAAGAGAAGAAACAGUAGAUAUAUCUCUUAAAACAGUGCAGUUUCUCCUCUUGUUGCACUAUUUCUCCUCUUGUUUACACAGAAAUGGUGCAACAAGAGGAGAAACAGUGCAACAAGAGGAGAAACAGUAUAAAUAUCUCUUAAAAUGGUGCAGUUUAAGAUAAAAAAUAGUGUAACAAGAGGAGAAAUGGUGCAACAAGAGGAGAAACAGUAUAAAUAUCUCUUAAAAGGGUGCAGUUUAAGAUAAAAAAUAGUGUAACAAGAGGAGAAAUGGUGCAACAAGAGGAGAAACAGUGCAACUUUUGUUUAAAGAGUGUAACUUUUAUCUUAAUGGAUGCAGUUUACAUCUGAAAGAGUGCAAUAAGAAGAGAAACAGUGUAAAUAUCUCUCAAAGAGUGUAAUUUUCGUUUAAAGAGUGUAAUUUUCAUCUUAAAGCUGCAGUUUACAUAUUAAGUAGUGCAACUUAUAAUUUUUUUUGCAGUUAACGAUACAAUUUCAUGUUCAUCCUUCUUUUUAUAUAAUUUUUUAUCUUUAUUUUUUUUCUGCUUUUUCUAUAAUUUUUUUUUGUCACCCUCUCUGCCAACAGCCACGGUGCCGGCGACAACGCCGCUAAGGACCCCCGUUCCGAGCCUGUAGCACCGCAGUGACCUCCACAGUGUCGACGUCGGCGCCGGCGAAGAUGCAUCGUCGUCAGAGGUGGCAGAGAAUAAGGGAGAGGGAGAGAUGAGAAGGGCGGGGAAGGACGAGAAAGGCGUCGUCGUCGGAGACGGUAGAGAAGAGUCGGAAAAGAAAAGAAAAGAAAAAAGCAAAAAAUGAAAAAGUCGCGGGCGGACUUGGCGGGGUUGGAGGCGAGGAAGGUGGAGGGUGCGUGGAUGAGGGCAAGGGCGAGGGCGAGGGCGAGAGAAUGAGGGUGAGAGGCGAGACGGACCGUUUCCGCCUCCGCUCUGCCUCCGCUCUGCCGGCGAAAAAAAAAAAAAAAGAACGAGAGAAACGAAGAGGAGAGAGAAAGAGGAAAGAGAAAAAGUAAAAAGGAUAUUUUGGUCAGUUUGCUGAAAAAGCGGACCGAAUCUGCAAAAACAAAAAAGAUUCAUGGCCUGAUUUUGCAAAAGCCCAAAAUAAGUGGAUUUUUUAUGUAAAUUGGCCAAAGAAAAAGAAAAGUUUGGAUAAAAUAAAACUUUAGAGGGAAAAAUAGGCAAUUCAAAACUUCAUAUAAAUUGAUCAUCUUAUUACUCACCAACAUCACAGCUUUAACAUUCUCAUGUGUAAUGGGCACUUCCAAGUCCUUUUGCUCCCUCGCUUGCAGCAGCACAUCCAACAAGUCCUCCUCCUCAGUUUUUUGCGGCUUCUGCCGGCGGCCUCGAAUGGUGUCGUCAAAGAUCGCAUCCAACUCCCUGUGGACCUUUGUGAUCUCGCGCAUCGUGAUAACAUUGAGAAAUCGUAGUGAAGGAAACAAAUCCGAGGGACUGAAACCGGAGGCCAAUUCCCCGCAUUUCUUGGCAACCACCAGGAACCUGCUUUGGUGCUUGAAUAUCUUUCCGAAUGUUGCCCUUCAAAUUUUAGUUAUUAUAAGUACGAGAUAGGGACUAAUUAAAAGAAAUUUUUGUGUAUUUGUUGGCUACGAACAUGAAUUUCAAAUCUCGACCUGCGAGUUUGUAUAUAUAACUAAAUAUUGUGAACUAAUUAAUGCAUGUAAUUAUAUAUUGUUGUGUAAAAUGGCUAUAUUUCCACAACAUUUCACUUUUCUUUUACUUCAUUUUUAGUGUAGUUCUAAAAUAUAUAGUGAGGGAUGAGAUUGCAAUCAUAGAAAAACUUCGAAAUACCAAAAGCUUUUCGUAGUAUAUAUAUGGACUUGCAAAUAAAUUAUAUGCAAGCAACAUAUUUAUUACGUAAUAAUACCCGUGUACCCGCCAAGCUGCAGGAGCCGGUCGAAAUGGGGCGGGAAUUUGGAAACAUUUUUCUUACCAAGGGUUGUCAACGGGUAUUAUUUCAUCUUGGCAGCUAGAGGAAGCCUAUUAUAUAAUACUUACACGAUGCCAUCAAUAACUAAUCAAUAAUAUCUUUUCUUUAAGUAAAAGUAUAAUAAAAAUAUUUUCCUAAUAAAUUUAUAUCUAUACUUCUAUACUAUAUAUAUAUAAAAGCGUAUAGAAAUUCUAAUAAUGACAGACGGAAUUUAAAAAGAAACAGAAUAAUAUUCCCUAUAUUAUCUAUAAACUGAUAUGAUCAAUUUAUUAAAAAAGUCUCAAAUAAGAAUGAACGGUUAUGAUCAAUUUAUUAAAAAUAUAGAAAUGACAGACUAAAAAAAAUAAAAGAAUAUUCGCUACGAACGGUUAUGAUCAAUUUGUUAAAAAAAAAACUCAAAUAAGAACGAACAGUUAUGAUUAAUCUGUCAAAAAAAAAUAGUAAUAUCCAUCUAUAAAUUUAAUUCUACGAACGAUUAUAAUCAAUUUGUUAAAAAUAUUAAGAUCAAUUUGUUAAAAACUAACAUUCAUUUACAUCUAUUUUAUAUUAAAAUUUAAAUUUAAGUUUAAAUUGCGAAUGAAAUUUAGUUUUUUAUACCAAAUUUGACUUAAUAGUUUAAAAUUUUAGUUAUAUAACGGAUCAAAAUUAAAUUUUAAAUUUUAAAAUAAAUAUCAAUUAAAUUUUGAUGUUUUUAGUUUAAAACACAUACUCAAAUUUUAGAUCCAUCAUUAAUUAAAAAUAUAUAAAAAUAUUUAAUCUAUAUAAAAAAAAGAACAAUAUAAAAUAUUACAUAUAUUUUCUAAUAAAAUAUAACAUAUAAAUUUAUAAAUUAUAAUUUUUAUUACAAAUUCUAAAUUANGCGAAAUGGAAAAAGGGUGGGGGUUUCCCUUUCGCCACCCAUCUAAAAAAAAUUAUUAUCUUUACAUUUUAUUUUUAGUAGUUGAAAAGAAUUAAACCAAACAAAAAUAUCUUAUUGAAAUUAAGUAAAUCGAGCCGAAAUGACCAAAUUAUUUUUGGUUGAUUCAGUUCAUAUGAUUUUAAUUUGAUCCGAUUCGGUUAAAGAAAAAAAAAAGAAAUACCAGUCCAAUCAAACCAACUUAUGGUCAUCCUAGGAAUAAGAAAAGAAAUACCAGUCCAAUCAAACCAACUUACGGUCAUCCUAGGAAUAAGACUAAUGAGAGAAUUUGUACACACGCAGCUUUAUUGUCAAAGUGCGUGCGUUGGGAAUGCGAGGAAAUUCACUAGAAAAUUCGUGGCGUCUUAAUAAUGAAUUGAACAUAGCCUGACUCGUUAAGUAUAGGAUUGAAAAAUAUAGUUCGUAUUAUGCUCAUUUAUUAACGAGUCGAAUAUGAAUUGGCUUGCGAACAGCAUGUUAGAUUAUCAGCCAGACUUCUGGUUGAAAAAUUGAAAGAAAAUUAGAAAAAUAGAAUCUUAAUGUAAUAAUUAAUUUAUAAAAUAUAGAGCUUUUUAUAUUUAGGAUGGUCUAUUAUCCAAAUAGUAAAAAUAUUCACUAUUAAUAUAAACAUCAAUAACUCAAAUCUAUCUAUUUUUAGAAUAUCAUUCAAUUUUAACCGUUCAUUUUAUACUCACUUGAUAAACUUUAUUAUAAUUUUGAAAAAUCAUGAAACUUAUUUUCUAGAAGUUUUGCAUGCUUAAAAUAAUAUUUAAUGGUGUGGAUAUCGUCAAUUCGGAAGCUCUAUCACCAAAAAAAUUUUAUGAGUACAAAUAGCUCUAUACUUAUAAGAGUAUUGUAUUCCUAUUAUAUAUAUAUAUAUAUAUAUAGCUAGGCUACUAUACUAUCGGUAGCACGGAGCGCUCCGUGCUACCAAGUUAUUUUCGGUAAUGCGGCUUCCAAAUCAACGAUCGGCUCCGUUAGAUUUGAUCUACACUAUUAAAAGUAUUUAGAAACUAAAUUUCAUAAUUUUUCGAUAUCAUUUACCUAUCAAACAAGUAGUCUAAAAUUGAACGGCUGAAAAUAAAAAUCUCAUAAAGAAUGAUGAUAAAAUAUUUAAAUUCAAUAUCAGAUAUACUGAUCUUACUCUAAAUAGUGAAAAGAAUUUUCUAUAAAAUUUCAUCGGAUUUGGAUUAUUUUACACUGUUAAACUCUCAAACACACCACAUCGGCCUUUAAAAUUAUCAAUUUUGAGAUCUUUUGAUCAGUAGUCAAAUUAUGUCGAAAAAAUCUGAAAUUUAGUUUCCAAAUACUUUCAAUAGUGUAGAUCAAGUCUAACUGAGCCGAUCGUCGAUUUGGAAGCCACAUCAUCGAAAACAACUUGGUAGCACGGAGUGCUCCGUGCUACUGAUAGUAUAGUAGCCGAACUCUAUAUAUAUAUAUAUAUAUAUAUAUAUAUAGAGAGAGAGAGAGAGAGAGAGAGAGAGAGAGAGAGAGAGUCCGGCUAUGGUGCUUGUAAAAGUACCAAGCAUUUCAUGCUUAUAAAUUUUUUACCAUUAGAUUUACGCCUUUAAUUAUUUUCACCCGUUAGAUUAUACUAUUCAACCAACCACUCAAUCAACCAUAGGGAGCUUGUAAAAUUACCAAGCAUUUGGUGCUUGUAAAUUUUUUACUGUUAGAUUUACGUUUUUAAUUAUUUUUACCCGUUAGAUUAUACUAUUCAACCAACCAUUCAAUCAACCGUAGGGGGCCCACAUCAUCCUAACCGCACAUUCCUUAAUCCAAGGGUUGAAAACUUACAAGCACGUACCAAUGACUUGAUACUUUUAAAAGCAUAGGAGCUCAAUUUUAUAUAUAUAUAUAUAUAUAUAUAUAUGAGCAGGACUGCUGUGCUCUCAGGAGCACGGAGGCCUUCGUGCUCCUGAGCCAUUUUCGAUGAUAGAAUUUUCGAAUCGACGAUCGGCUCCGUUAGAAUAUUUGAAGUUUUUAGAAAAUAAUUUUUACGAUUUUUUGAUAUCAUUUACCUAGUGAUUGAUAAGCGUUAAAAAUCAAUAAGUUUUAAUUGUUGAUAUCUGCCGUUUUCAAGUUUAACGGUAUAGAAAUAUUCAAAUCAGAUAAAAUUUUGAUACAAAAUUCUUUAUACUAUCUACAACAAGAUCAAUAUUUCUGAUCGAAAAUUUUAAUGCUUUAUCACUAUUUUUUAUUAAUUUUUUAUUUUCAGCCGUUAAAAAUUAUUGAUUUUGAAUCCUUUUGAUUACUAGGUAAAUGAUAUCNUGAUCUGUAAGUUUGAUUUUAUUCUUAUUACAAAAUUAGUUAGAUAUUAAUCACAAUCAGAUUUUCGUUGCGGUAUUUGUUCUAACAAUCUAAGGCGUAUUUUCAAUUUGAUUGUUGUUAAAAUCUAACGGAUGUUAAUCUGUAUUAAAUUAAUUUUAUACGUAUAUAAUUUGUUUGUUAAUUUGUUUGUUGGCAUUUAAAUAUAAUUUUUUUUUGGGAUUAGCACUUUAACCUAUAAUUGCAUAUUAUGUAAUUUCUUGUUUAAAUUACAUUUUAUUUGAUGAGUAUUUAAAAAAAAAAAAAAUUGCCUUUACUGUAGCUCUUUUGGGGAAAAAAAGAGGUACGGACAUUAUGGAUUAUUUAUAGUUUUCACUGUUUGUCUAUAUGUUAAAAAGAAAAAAGAAAAAAAAGGCUGUUUUGCUAGAAUAAUAAAUAUCUUUUUAAUCAAGUAUUUAAAAAAAAAAGUUCUGUACCUGCAUUGAUUUUUUUUUUAAAAAAAAGAAAUUUUUUUGCUACAGUGAAAUUAAUCUUUACUGUGUAUGGUUUUUUGAGUUGUUGCUACAGUAAAAGCUCUUUAAUGAAAGAAAAAAUUCUGCUGCAAAAUUAAUUUUAAACAAUUUUGCUCCAAGUGGGAUUUCAACCCACACUUUCUAAAAGCAUAGUUUUUAAGCGAGAUCACCUAACAAGCAGUACUAAUACUAUUGCAUUUUUUUUUAUUGUUGCUGUCACUGGAAACUCUAUUUGUUGGAUUUAAUAUCACAACUAUCUAACUUCUCAGCACGACUGAAUAUACAACAGCUAGCACAUAUUUAUUGUGAUAAUUUUGUUGAUUGUAUUUAAUAUUUUUAUACAUUACUUGCAAUAUAUUGUUUGCAAACAAAUUACCUAAUUAAAAUCAAAUAUUUUAAAAUUGUUUCUGCAAUCUAUUUGUUGUUGAACCGAAUUUUGUUAAACAUGAUUAAAUUUUAUAAUUUUUAAAUUUUUAGUAUAUUUCAGAACUUGUCGGGGUUACUCUUUUAUCAGUUUGAUAAAUUUUGAUAUUAUAAUUGCUCUCGUGAUUUUAUCCUAGUGUUCAUCUUGGAAACGAAUUUUGCAAAUUCUAAGAUUGGGAGGUAAAUUAUUUUGGGACAUAAAUUUAUUAGAUGGUUAUUUUCAUAAUAUUAUUUAUUUGAUUUUAUCAGAUCUGAACAGAACUUUGCAGAUUAUUUGACGAACGGCCUGAAUAGGACUAAGGUCCUGGAGUCAUCGAGGAGGAUGGGACUUGCCCAUAAUGGGCCUUCCUGCAGUGGGAACCCAACCUUUGUGAUAGGAGAUCCCUUGAAGAAGGUUCAAUAUGGUAAAAACAAGCUGUCAGGAUGGCCAAAGAGCACUUUCUACAAAUUUUAUAUAGGAGCUUUAGCUCCAAUCCCAUCCUUAUGGUGAGUAGUGCUCUGUGUAGUGGAUUAGGUUGAGCUGAGAGCUCUUAAUGGGAUCCAAGGCGAUAAUUUUCGCGAGAUGUGACUCUACACACAUCCCUGGAGGAAACCACCUAUAUAAGAGUAUCCGUAUGUGGCCGCGGCUAUGUGAUAUGGGCUAUCCAUAGAAACUCUUAUGAAAAAUCAAGGUACUGUGCAUGGCCAUUAACGCACAGACCCGCGGCGGAGAAUUCUGUACUGUGUGUGUGGUAGUUGAAGUCAGGGCCAAAGGAACGUAGUUCAAGACCUGGUUCACUCCGAUUCCUUCUGAUGGAAACUAUUUACACUAAGUGAGGUUAAGUCUCUUAAAGACACCUUACCCAUUGCAUAGUAUAAAACACCCAGUAAAUUUGAAUUUAAUUCGUAAUUUUAAAAUUUUGAGUUUUGUGGGGGAUUGUUGGUGAAAACUCAAAAUUUUGAGUUUGAAUUUAUUUUAUUUGCACUUUGAUGUUUUAUUAUUUAUUAUUUUAUUUAUUUAUUACUUUAAUUAUUUUAUUUUAUUUAAUUAUUUUAUUAUCUUUCUUAAUGAGAAAGAAACUAACGGAAUUUUUUCCGUUCCGUUUCUUUCGCGUUACGUUGGGCGGGUUCCGCUUCUUUCUCGUAAGAGAAAAAACGUAAAAUCCUCUUUCCUUUUUAGGUCUUUUUCCUUCUCUUCUUGCUCAAGAUAGAGCAGGCAGAAAAGAUUUUUGAUCAUUGGUUAAUCUCUAUCUAUUUAUUCUUUUAUCUUUCAUUUUUGAAAAUUCCCCUUAUCCACUGGGUGUUGAGAAUCUUCGUCAACCUCCUUCACGAUCGUGCUCGCAGGAGGAGGAAUUCCGGUCGUACCUUGGGGUGUUAUUUCCGGUUAAUCCCGCACGUAAGGACGGAAAUACGCCUUAGGGCAGUGCCUCGCACGCUUUCGGAUAAGAUCAAAUCGUUAUUUGGAUAUUUGCGUUGAUCUGUAAGUUUGAUUUUAUUCUUAUUACAAAAUUAGUUAGAUAUUAAUCACAAUCAGAUUUUCGUUGCGGUAUUUGUUCUAACAGAAUUAUUGUUCUCGUUUUAACGGCUUAUCCUGAGAGAACCAUUAAGGGUGAGAAUAAUAUAUAGAACUCACCCCAUUCUAGAACAGCGUUAUUUCAAUGCUGUUCCUUCCCCCCAUUUUAUACUUAUACUCGAAUCAAACAAAGCUUUAGAUUAAAAUUUAAUCAAUUUUAAUUACUCUAUUAGUUACCAACUGUUAAUAGGUCUACUAUUAAGUUCUUAAUUUAUUUACAAAUAUAAAAUGUUAGCUUUGAUGUGCUAAUAUAUUUUAAACUUAAUCAAACACUUUUAAAAUAACAUAUUUUAUUCUUAUAUAUAUAUAUAUAAGUAAAAUCAUAUUUGAUUGGUACAUACUUUUUCUAAUUUAAUGUGUUAAACUUUCUUGGAUAAUAAAUAAAAAAUCGAUAAAAUUUAAACUGGGAUGAUAUUUUUUGUUAUAUAUAUUUCAUGGCAUUUUAACAAUAGGGAACUUAAUUGAAAUAAAUAAUAAAGAUUAGAUCAUAGUUAGUUAAUUCGGAUUCGGCAAAAAUUCGGUACAGGUAUAUGUUGAUAAGUAAUCCAAUAUUUUUGUUUGGUUUAGAUUUAUUUCUGUCAAGUUUAUCCUUCCAACAAUAUAAUUCGGAUAAAAUUCGUCUUUUAAAUUUUAAAUUCGUUGAAAACUACGGCUAAAAAAUGGAUUCAUCAAUUAUUCGGAUACGUGAUUUAUACGGAUAUUAUACGUUCACCAAUUAAAAAUUCGAAAUAAAAAAUUCGGCUAUUAAAUUAAGUUUUUUUUUCCUCAAGAUUUAUACUAUUAGCAUAAAUAUUCAUAUUUCUUAAAAAUAUAAGAAUAAAUAGCUAUAAAAGUAAGCUAAUUAAGUAAAAAAUUCAUAAAGUGCAAUAUAUUCUUGUAUUUUUUGCUCAUUAUCCAAAUAUGCUUGUAUUUUUGGCUCAUUAUCCAAAAAAUUCGGGAUCUGACGAAUAUUAAUUUGGCUCAUUAUCCAAAUAUGCUUGUAUUUUUUCGUUUUGGGCCAGCCGGCGCGCGAAGCUGGCGAGCUGUGACGCCCCAACUUUCCAGGGGGUCACCCAUCCUAGGACUACUCCCGUCCUAGCACGCUUAACUCUCUUAACCUCUUGGGCCUUGCCAUCACCCAAAAUGCUUAAGCCGGGUUAAGAGUUUAGCCCUAUUAUAUCUUAUAUAUAGGACUAUCUGGGGUCUCACAAUCUCCCCUCCUUUAAGCCCUGACGUCCUCGUCAGGCUCAGACUCACAAGUACCAGGCGAUGUGAGACUCGUCUCGCUAGCCCGUCAUCCAGACCCUGACUCAGCCGAGACUCAUCUCACACUUCCGGCUGGUAAUUGGCUCUGAUACCAUCUGUGACGCCCCAACUUCCCAGGGGGUCACCCAUCCUAGGACUACUCCUGUCCUAGCACGCUUAACUCUCUUAACCUCUUGGACCUUGCCACCACCCAAAAUGCUUAAGCCGGGUUAAGAGUUUAGCCCUAUUAUAUCUUAUAUAUAGGACUAUCUGGGGUCUCACACGAGCGCUCGAGGGUGCGAGCUGCGAGCGCGUGAGGGUGCGUGCGGGAGCGCGCGUGGGAGCGCGCGGGCGCGGGCAGCGCGGGUGCGAGGCGUUUUUUUGGACCGAAUAAUUCGGAGUUCGCGUAUAAUACGCGAACAAGUAUUUUUUGCCAAAAGUACGCGUUUUUUCCCCAUUUUUUAGAAAAAUACGAAUUCGACCGUUUAAUUCGUUUUUUCAAAAAUUCAUGAAUAAUUUGCGAAUUAACUAACAUAGGAUUAGAUAUCUAAUUUAAGACCAAAAUAAAUGCGACUAGGUUGGAAACGAUAGACUAAUUAAAUCCAACUAACUAUAUAUAUAUAUAUAUAUAUAUAUAUAUAUAUAUAGAGAGAGAGAGAGAGAGAGAGAGAGAGAGAGAGAGAGAGAGAGAGAGAGAGCGCUAGGCUACUAUACUAUCGGUAGCACGGAGCGCUCCGUGCUACCAAGUUGUUUUCGAUGAUGCGGCUUCCAAAUCGACGAUCGGCUCCGUUAGAGUUGAUCUACACUAUUGAAAGUAUUUAUAAACUAAAUUUCAUAAUUUUUUGAUAUCAUUUACCUAUCAAACAAGUAGUCUAAAAUUGAACGGCUGAAAAUAAAAAUCUCAUAAAAAAUGAUGACAAAAGAUUUAAAUUCAAGAUCAGAUAUACUGAUCUUACUCUAAAUAGUGAAAAAAAUUUUCUAUAAAAUUUUCAUCGCAUUUGAAUUGUUUUACACCGUUAAACUCACAAACACACCACAUUGGCCAUUAAAAUUAUCAAUUUUGAGAUCUUUUGAUCACUAGUCAAAUGAUGUCGAAAAAAUUUAAAAUUUAGUUUCCAAAUACUUUCAAUAGUGUAGAUCAAGUCUAACAGAGCCGAUCGUCGAUUUGGAAGCCGCAUCAUCGAAAACAACUCGGUAGCACGGAGCGCUCCGUGCUACCGAUAGCAUAGUAGCCGGACUCUAUAGAGCUAGGCUACUAUACUAUCGGUAGCACGGAGAGCUAUAAUAUUAUUGAUAGAAAAAGAUUCUUUUUAUUAUUAAAUUUUUAGCUUUUGGAUUAAUUCUUUUUAUCAUUUCUAACCAUUGGAUUAAAUAUUAUAAUCCAAUGGGGACUACUCAACUCUAGAGGGACCACUCAAUCCUAAAAUUAAAAACUUAAUAGAAAAAAAAGCCUUUUGCUAUCUAUAACAGAAGAUCCCCCGUCCACAUUAAAUACCUGCAUACAACGUUGUUGGCCAGGGACAUGAGCUUGAGGCUAAUGUUGACCGGCAUUUGCUGAGCCGCCACACCAGCGAUGUCCUUCAAAAACUCUCACGACCACGAGGUCUAUCUGUAUUGAGUAUGAAUGAUUUAUUAAAACAUUAAUAUUAUUUCUAUCUACUUAGAACUUUUAGAACCAGCUUGGUUCGAAUUAUAAGCGGGGAUAACGAAAAUUGUCUCUACUAUCCGUCAAACGGAAUGAUCUUUUACCGGGAUAUUUUAUCUCGGUCAAGUCUUGCUAUUUUCGGUUAUUUCGAAAUAGCUUAAAAUUUACUAUUCCAUCGCUUUAGUAGAAUAGUGCUAUUCUAAUAUUUCAUUUCAAACUUAAUUAAAAUUAUAAAUUGAAUUAAAAAUAAAUUAUAUAAAUAAAAUAUGUUAUAUAUUAUAAUACAUUAUUUUUAUUAUAAAAUUAUUAAUUGUAUUAUAUUAAUACAUAUUAUUUAUAUUUAAAUAUUAUAAUAAAUUUUAUAAUAAAUUAUUUUUUAAAAUUUAAGUUUAAGUGGAAUUUUAAAACCGUGUAGAUCUCUCUAGCAUCUCAAGAUUUUGGAUAAUAAUGAUUGUUUGGGAACCUGGCCGACGCGGACCAGCAUAAGCGGGCCGUAGGUACGGGCCAGUGCGGCCAGCGCAUGAUGCGGCAGGUCGGUGGCCAGGUAGUGCAGGCUGCCGAUUAUAGGGAGGCGAGGGGGCCCCGGCGGGAGGUCCAACCAACUGGAAGAUCGCAUAACAAUUGUUAGAAGAGGGAGAAGUACAAUUCGGAGUAGAAGGAGAGAAGGGAGCUGGAGCUCCAUGUUAGAGAGAGAGAGAGAGAGAAAACAAAGUGUGUGGGCUUAAGGUUCACUAACACAAGGGUGCAUACCGAUUCGACGAUCGGCUCCGUUAGGUAUAAUCUACCCUAUUGGAACUAUUUAGAAACCAAAUUUUAUAAUUUUUUGGCAUCAUUUACUAAGCGAUCAAUAGGUCCCAAAAAUGACUAUUUUAACGGCCGAUACGGCACGUUUUUAAGUUCAACGGUGUAGAAGUAUCCAAAUUACAUGAAAAUUUAAUAGAAAAUUCUACUUAACGUCAAUAGCAAGAUCAAUACUUCCGAUUUGAAAUUUGAGUCCUUUAUCAUUAUUUUUUAUGAAAUUUUUAUUUUCAGCCGUUCAUUUUUAGGCUACUCGUUCACUAGGCAAACGAAGUCAAAAAAUUAUGAAAUUUGGUUUCUAGAUAUUACAAGUACGGAGCCCCCGGUAUUUUUGAAAGCAUAGGAGCCUCUCUCUCUCUCUCUCUCUCUCUCUCUCUCUCUCGCUCUCUAUAUAUAUAUAUAUAUAUAUAUAGAGUCCGGCUACUAUCCUAUUAAUAGGAUUGGGACCGUUGUCCAAUCAAGUCGUUUUGAAUGAUCGACACUCCAAAUUGAUAAUCGGCACCGUUGAAAUUGAUCUACACUAUAAAAAAUAUUUAGAAACCAAAUUUUGUAAUAUUUAAAAAUCAUUACCAAGUUCAUCUUAAGAGUUAAAAAAUGAACGGCUGUAAAUGAAUAAUCUUCUUAAAAUAGAGGUUAGAUUUUUUCAAUUCAUAAUCAGAGUUAUCAAAUAUUAUCUAAAUAGUAUAAAGAAUUUUCUAUCAAAAAUCAAGCAAUUUGGAUUGCUCUAUACCGUUAAACAAGCAAACGACUUAUAUAGGCCGUCAAAAAUUGUCGAUUUUAUGACACUUUGAUCACCAUGUAAAUAAUUUUUAAAAUUUAUGAAAUUUAGUUUCUAGAUAUUUCAAAUACUCUAGAUCAACUUCAACGGCUUCGAUCAUCGAUUCGGAAUCUCUAUCAUCACAAAUAAUUUGAUAGGACAAGUGCUACUAUCUUAUUAAUAGGAUAGUAGCCCUAGCCUCUAUAUAUAUAUAUAUAGAGUCCGGCUACUAUACUAUCGAUAGUACCAAGCCGUUGGUACUAUUGAGUUUUCUACCGUUAGAUCUGCCUUUUGAUCAUUUUCACCCGUUAGAUUAUACUAUUAAACCAACCACUCACUCAACCCUAGGGGAUCACUAUCAAUUUAACUGGGAACCACUAUCAUCAUAACCGUACAUCUUUUCAUCCAACGGUCGAAAAUUCAAUAGUACCAAAGACUUGAUACUAUUGAUAGUAUAGUAGCAUAAUUCUAUAUAUAUAUAUAUAUAUAUGCACAUGCAUGCGGGUGCAAACUCUUUUCCGAGACGUGUGAGAGCUAACAAGGACGAGAAAUGUUGCUUUCAAUAGGGGAAAAAGAGUUGUAAUUUCUAGAUUAAAAUAUAUAGAUGCAUCCAAAAUUUUAAUCUGUCUUGAAAUUGAUUGUCUAAUUUUUUUUUGUUAUUUCAGUCUUUUUUUUUUUUUAAGAGAGAGAUAGAUAGCAUGCUACCCGCUUCGUUUAUUUUAUUUAGAAAUAAACUUAGCUAGAAAUGUGAAUCAACUAGGUUUCGAACUUGGGUCUCGGGUACCAACCAUCAAGCCCUUUGCCACUUGCUUUAGGGACGGUCGAUUUUUUAUUUGAGUCUUACUAGUACGUGGUUUAAUUUAGCUUAUUUUAUUAGCAAUUUUAGUGAUUCUUUUAGAAUCAAAAUAAACGCCUAUCAAAAAUUCACGUGACAAAAUUUAAUUUAGGAAAAGAAAGAAAGCACACAUGUUAAAAAAAAAAAUUUGUGGCGAAAUGGAAAAAGGGUGGGGGUUUCCCUUUCGCCACCCAUCUAAAAAAAAUUAUUAUCUUUACAUUUUAUUUUUAGUAGUUGAAAAGAAUUAAACCAAACAAAAAUAUCUUAUUGAAAUUAAGUAAAUCGAGCCGAAAUGACCAAAUUAUUUUUGGUUGAUUCAGUUCAUAUGAUUUUAAUUUGAUCCGAUUCGGUUAAAGAAAAAAAAGAAAUACCAGUCCAAUCAAACCAACUUACGGUCAUCCUAGGAAUAAGACUAAUGAGAGAAUUUGUAUACACGCAGCUUUAUUGUCAAAGUGCGUGCGUUGGGAAUGCGAGGAAAUUCACUAGAAAAUUUGUGGCGUCUUAAUAAUGAAUUGAACAUAGCCUGACUCUCGUUAAGUAUAGGAUUGAAAAAUUUAGUUCGUAUUAUGCUUAUUUAUUAACGAGUCGAAUAUGAACUGGCUUACGAACAGUAUGUUAGAUUAUCAAUCAGGCUUCUGGCUGAAAAAUUGAAAGAAAAUUAGAAAAAUAGAAUCUUAAUGUAAUAAUUAAUUUAUAAAAUAUAGAGCUUUUUACAUUUAGGUUGGUCUAUUAUCCAAAUAGUAAAAAUAUUCACUAUUAAUAUAAACAUCAAUAACUCAAAUCUAUCUAUUUUUAGAAUAUCAUUCAAUUUUAACCGUUCAUUUUAUACUCGCUUGAUAAACUUUAUUAUAAUUUUGAAAAGUCAUGAAACUUAUUUUAUAGAAGUUUUGCAUGCUUAAAAUCAUAUUUAAUGGUGUGGAUAUCGUCAAUUCGGAAGCUCCAUCACCAAAAAUAAUUUAUGAGUACAAAUAGCUCUAUACUUAUAAGAGUAUUGUAUUCCUAUUAUAUAUAUAUAUAUAUAUAUAGAGCUAGGCUACUAUACUAUCGGUAGCACGGAGCGCUCCGUGCUACUAAGUUGUUUUCGGUAAUGUGGCUUCCAAAUCAACGAUCUGCUCCGUUAGACUUGAUCCACACUAUUAAAAGUAUUUAGAAACUAAAUUUUAUAAUUUUUCGAUACCAUUUACCUAUCAAACAAGUAGUCUAAAAUUGAACGGCUGAAAAUAAAAAUCUCAUAAAAAAUGAUGAUAAAAGAUUUAAAUUCAAGAUCAGAUAUACUGAUCUUACUCUAAAUAGUGAAAAGAAUUUUCUAUAAAUUUUUCAUCAGAUUUGGAUUAUUUUACACCAUUAAACUCUCAAACACACCACAUCGGCCUUUAAAAUUAUCAAUUUUGAGAUCUUUUGAUCAGUAGUCAAAUGAUGUCGAAAAAAUCUGAAAUUUAGUUUCCAAAUACUUUCAAUAGUACAGAUCAAGUCUAACUGAGCCGAUCGUCGAUUUGGAAGCCGCAUCAUUGAAAACAACUUGGUAGUACGGAGUGCUCCGUGCUACUGAUGUAUAGUAGCCGAACUCUAUAUAUAUAUAUAUAUAUAUAUAUAUAUAGAGAGAGAGAGAGAGAGAGAGAGAGAGAGAGAGAGAGAGAGAGAGAGAGUCCAGCUAUGGUGCUUGUAAAAGUACCAAGCAUUUGAUGCUUGUAAAUUUUUUACCAUUAGAUUUACGCCUUUAAUUAUUUUCACCCGUUAGAUUAUACUAUUCAACCAAUCACUCAAUCAACCGUAGGGAGUCCGGCUAUGGUGCUUGUAAAAUUACCAAGCAUUUGGUGCUUGUAAAUUUUUUACUGUUAAAUUUACGCCUUUAAUUAUUUUCACCCGUUAGAUUAUACUAUUCAACUAACCAUUCAAUCAACCGUAGGGGGCCCACAUCAUCCUAACCGCACAUUCCUUAAUCCAAGGGCAGAAAANNNNNNNNNNNNNNNNNNNNNNNNNNNNNNNNNNNNNNNNNNNNNNNNNNNNNNNNNNNNNNNNNNNNNNNNNNNNNNNNNNNNNNNNNNNNNNNNNNNNGUGCAAAGAAUAUUAACAUGAAUAUUCCGUUUCUAAUCUGGCGGAGGAUGGCAAAAGAUAUCAAAACUUCUGGACAAAAUGAAAGGCUGCCAUUUCCUUUGAUAAUCAUGCGGAUUCUGCGACUUCGUGAAGUGGAUGUUCGUUGUACAUCAUAUGAGCACAGUUUGGGUCGGAUCAAUGAAAGGACAUUUGUGAAGUCCUCGGUGCAGUUACGUACCCCAUCUCAACGUGCUUCUUCCCCUCCUGCUGCUCCGCCUCCUGCUACUGCUACUUCUUCACGUCCUUCUAUGGACAUUUCUGAGGAAGAUAUCUCCGUUUCAUCUGUGUAUCGUGAGCAACAACGUUUAUCUGAGGAGCUUCAGAAAUUGUCUGCGGAGCAAGCUGCGAUUCGGAAGGAUGUAAGCAAGAUGAAGCGCUUAUUGAAUAUGAUUUUUGACAAGUUAGGCUGUUGCCGAGCGGAUUUACCUCCAGGGGAUGCUUCCGAUUAGGAGUUACCGGGUUCCUUCUUUUGUCAUUUUAGCGCUUUCUGACAUAAAGGGGGAGAUGGAGAUGGUGGUUCUUGAUGUUGAUGAUGCAAUGAUGAUGCACUUAGCUUAGUUAUUUUAGUUUUGAUGAUGAUGCAUGCAGCAUUUUGUUUAGGUGAACUUUAGAUGAACUUUGUUUAGUUAGUGCUUUAGGUGUUUGAUUAUGAACUAUGACUUGAUACUUUGUUUGAUCUUGAUACUUGAAUCUUGAUUAUGUUUUGAGAAUGUUUUUGCAGGAAUAAUUCAAGACUUCAAGACUCCAUGUCUAAGUCAUAGAGUUUGUAUUAAGAUUAUGAAAAUUGUAAUUUUCGUUUAUUGGAUCGAUCAUGCAGGAGAUUAUCGUUUGGUGAUUGCGAUGAUCUUCUUUUUAUUGUUUCUGUGUUGUGUACGAGUUUAUAGUUUAUUUUGUCACGAAAUCGCCAAAGGGGGAGAUUGUUAAGGAUUUUAUAGGUUGGCGAAUUUCGUAAAGUUGUUUGGAGUCUUGAAGAGUUGAUCGCAGAAGUUUUUGAGAAGAGAUUCAAAUUGGAGGACGAAGACUCAUUCGGAAAGAUCGACACCUAAGGUAUGAAGAAAAGAUCAUUUGUGGUGAAGAUACAUAAUUAGAAUAAGUUCAGAAGGCUUAGAUUGCUUUAAAACAACUUUUCUGAACUUUCAUGUGUUCUGGGACCGGUCCCUGAGAUGGAGAGACCGGUUCCCCUAAGGUCCUCACUGCGUAAACCAUGAUGCAACCGGUCCCCUGUGAUGAGAGACCGGUUCCCGAACCAUGGUGCUUCUGUCGCGCAGCGAGGGACCGGUCUCAAGUUUGAGAGACCGGUUCCCGAACGUUGGGUUUUUGGUCACGCAGAGAGGGACCGGUUCCUCACUUGAGAGACCGGUCUCUCACAGACCGGUCUCCUCGAGAGGACCGGUCUCUGAGGACGACACAGGUUUUUGAAAACGACUUUUUGCAAUCCUAGUCUACUUCUAAGUCUUCUAAACAUAUAAAUAAGCUAUGUGGGUCAUCUAAAAUUAAGGCUUUGAAUAUUUUACCAAUUCUAAACCCUAGAAACUUAUUUCUCCCCGUUUCAAUGCUUAGAUUUACAUGAUGAGUUUCUAGCAAUCAACAUCGGCUUGAUUCUUCGUUUUUACUCGAUACUUCUUACGAGAAUCAAGUAGAUGAUUGAUUAAAGGUGAACCCUCAUAGCUUAUGGUUUUCAAAAGUUAAAUCACCACAAAUCUUCAAUUCUACAAGCUCCGGAAGGAGGUUCGGCGCGUGGAUCUCGCGUGAAGCCGAGGAUUCGGUGGACGCUUCGAGGAGUUGAGGCGUUGACGCUGCGAGGAGUUGCAGCAAGGUCGAUUGGUGGAUUCUUAUCGAUCGAGGACCGGCUAAGAUCAUCAACUACGGGAAAUUGGUAAAUUGAGUCGUGUGUUUUGGUCAAAAUCACUUGUACUCAUGUUUUCUUAGUGGAUUUUUUUUGCGUGAUUGGUCCCGUGGGUUUUUCACUCCGAUUUGGAGUUUUCCCACGUUAAAUUCUCAGUGUGCUCUUUUAUUUUCCGCUAUUUUGUUUUAUUUGCAUCGAGAUUUUCGAGUUUGCCGUUUUUACACCUAUUCACCCCUCUCUAGGUGUUACUUACCUUUUAGAUCCUCGGGAUCCAUAUCUUUCAUUAUGUAAUGCUUUGUUUGGUGCUUGUUGCAUAUUUUUAAUCAUUGCAUUACAUGUUUAGACGAUUUUUGGUGUUUUGGUUUUUAUUCGGUUAAAAAUUAUUUCUUUGAGGAAAGGUAUUUGGGAAUUUCAAAAUCUUUGAGAGAGGAGAUGAUUGAGAAUCAUUAUUUUGAGGAGAGAAAUUUUUCAAAGAUUGUUUAAACGAGUUUUAUCUUCACAAUCAUAUUAAGUUAAAUUCAUAUUAAUUAUCGUUUUUACUUCACUUUUUAUUAUUUUGACGAUAAUUUAAUAUACGAUUUCUUAAUGCAUAUAUUCAUCAAAAUUUUGGAAUCAAAUUUGAUCUCUUGGUGAUUAAUUUAUCUCGGUUGUGUGUGUUGAAUAUGAUAGAUGGAUAUUCGCUAAUAGACUAAAAUUUGUCAAAAUAUUUUCAAAUUGUGAGAUUGUCUAAUUUAGGGCGAGUUUGAAAUUAUUUUUUUAAAAAAAAAGAAAGGAAAAAUUUCUAUGUGUUAAAAGAUGUGAAAAAAGUUACAUCCAAAAGGAGUGUGAAAACUACCACCACAUGUAGGAAAGAGCUGUCAUCCCGAUCGUUCGGCAAGUGUAUGAAGCUACCACAUGAAGAUUAAAUUAAUUAACCGAAAAAGGUUGAAAAUUUUUUUGAAUAUUUUAGAAUUUUCGGAGUUAUAAGGUGGUAAGUUGAAAAGAUGCUCAAAGAGCCACCCCCGGUGCCAUAUUUGUUAAAUCUCUAUUUUGAACAUAUUGCGAUAAAUUAGUGUCAUUUUUGUUGAAUUUCUAAAAAUCAUUUUUCAACUCACAUCUUGAUGAUUUUGAAACUUGAAAUCAUUUUUGAUAAUGAAAUUUUGAUGUUUUGAUGUAUUUUGAAAUCUUAUAAUAUUUUACCUUCAUUAUAAUGAUUUUUAGAGUUAAAUCCUUAAUUUGUAUGAAAUUAAUUUAAAUGUGAUGGAUUUUUAAAGUAUAAUUUUUGAAUUUUUUUUUUCACAUUUUGGUCCUUGUACCGGUACAAGAACCCGUGUACCGGUACAAGGUCUGUACCCGAGCGGCUUAUAACCGGGUAUAGCGCUUCAUUUUGCUUCAAAUCGAAACCAAAUCACGAUUUCUCUUGUCCUGAGAGCUCCUGGGAUCCUCCUCCUCUAAAUCUACUACUUUCCCCCUUGGAUUUGUAAGUUGUUUGCUCGGAUUUGUGGAUCAAACCUCGUUUUUCUUUUCAAAAAAUUUCCAGUUCAUGCUUUGAUCUCUGUUUUUUAAUCGUUUUUUAUGCAAUUUUUUGCUGUAGAUCAGUGCUUAAGGACAUUAUCUUGCUUCUAGAACACUUAGAUCAGGUUAUAAUGCUAUAUUUUUCGCUGAUCUAUGAUCCUUAUGUCAUAAUACAUGGAAUUUUGGGAUUUUGGUGCAAUAUCAAUUUUUUGAUGAAAUUUUUUGCAUGAAUGAGUUGGAAAUAGCGUUAGUAUGCAUUCUAAGAUUAUCAGAUAUUUUUUCGCUAUUUUUACAGAUUUUUUCAAAAUUUUCUUCAUAAAUGGCUCAUUUUUUAUUUAGAAAAUGGCGUUUUCGCUCGUGAUCCUACUUUUGGUGCUUAUGGCCGCCGGUCGUGGUCGUGGUGGUGGUCGAGGAUGACGUGGAACCUCAAAGAGAGCCCAUGCUGCUGCAGGAGAGUCCGGUUCAGAUCCGGAGUAUCAAGCAAGCUCACAGGAAGAAACAGAAGAAGCAGCGACUCGAGCUGCUAAAGGAAAGGGUGUUAUGGGCGAAUCAUCUCAUGGCGGUGGUUCUCGUACGCGUGAGGGACGUACAAAACGAGCCGCGGAUGUCCCUCCAGUACGACCAAGGUUAUCUAUGUCGAAGUCGUGCAUAGCUGAACGCUUCGUGAACUUCAAUGACUUCAUUCGGGAUGUUCCUGAUUUUGGACGACUGCUACAGCGUGCACCUAUUGAGCCAGUUGGACGGGUCCCUGCCAAGUCUCCCUUCUGUGUGGAACUCAUUCGGGAGUUCUAUAUGAAUGGAAAGGUACUUGCUGAAGACGAGGAGACAGGCACUUUUCUUUUCGAGACUGUUGUGCGUAUGAAGAAAGUCCCAGUUACCCCCUAUACUAUUGGAGAGAUCUUGCGAAUGCAUGUGGACACUACAGGCCUUCUCUAUACAGCAGGAGGAUUUCAAUCGUCAACUCACAUGGAUAUCAUUCUUGGAGCUAUAUGCAAGGCCGGUGUUCAUAUGACUCAUGGUUAUAUAGAAUCCAAGGAUUUAUUACAUGAGUAUCACUUGCUUUCCUUGGUCAUGAGCUACAAUGUUCAACCAACCAUCGGCACGAAGAGGAUCCGUUGGGACAGAUUAGUAUUGCUAUAUCUUCUUGGUCAUCCCGAGCAGGCUCAUGGGUUGAACAUCAAUAUCCCGUUUCUGAUCUGGCAAAGGAUGAUACACGUAAUUAGGGUGCCACUUGACGGGAUCUACUUCCAUUCCCUGUUCUGAUUACAAGGAUUCUACAAGCUAAUGGAGUAGAUACAUCAUGUGACAAGUAUGAUGUUGGCCUUGGGCCUAUUGAUUCAGUGACUUGGGCUAAGUCUGUUAGCACUCUCAAGUCAUCCCAUCAGACUAAGGGGCCACCUCCUGAAGCAUCUAGCCCAGUACCUCCACCGAGAGCAGCUUCUAGCUCUGCUCUUCCGCCUCCAUCCCGAGGGAGUUAUGAUACUUCAUCUAGUUCGGGGGGAGCGACGACGUUGGAAUCAGUUAAGGAGGAUUUGCAAAAAUUAAAGAAGAAGGUGAACAAUAUUGGAAGAAAAGUUGAGUCAAGCAUCAAGAAAUUUGAAUUAAGUAUCAAAAGGAUUAUGGAUAAGAUGGGGUGUCGACAUGAUGAUAUUUGGGAGCCUACUCCAUCUUAUGGCAUGUAUCAGUAGUCAUCUUCCCAACAUCCACUCAUUCCUCCUGCGACAGGUGUGUCAGGCGCUGGAGCAUCUGGAUCUGGUGCUGGCGCAGAGGAUGAUGACGACGAGGACACAGAGUGAUGUUUUCUAGAGCUUCAUGUUUUAUCUUAGGUUUAUGUUUUCAUGUUUAGUUUACACUUCUACGUGUAUUUGUUGCUUUCUCUCUUAGGCAUGUAUCUAUAUUUUAACUUUGAUGUUUCUUUCUAGUGGAUUUUCUCUUUUUAUGCUUUUUGGCAAUUUUCUGACAAAAAGGGGGAGAUCACAAGAUAAACAGGACACGAACAAAGGGGGAGAAGUGGUGAACAAAGGUAGAAAAAAAAAAAGAAGAAGAAAGAAGCAAUUGAACAAAGGAGGAGAAUGGAUUUCAAGACUUCAAUACUCCUAGUUGCGUCUAAGUUAUAGAGUCUGUUUUAGGAGUUUUGAAUGUAUUUUGAGUUUUAAUUUGUAUUUGGAUUACACGCGAGAGGUUCAUUAUUUUGGUGAUGACAAUUGAACUUCGUUUUUCUUUUAAAUGUAAUGUUUGUGUUUUGAGUGUGUUUUGUCACGAAAUUGCCAAAGGGGGAGAUUGUUAGGUCCUAUGUGUUGGCAAGUUUCGUAGGUCGAGUCGGAGUCUUGAAGAAGUCUGGAGCAGAGUAUUGAAGAUCGAAGAAUCCAAGACUUCGAAGAAUCGGAAAGGACACAAAACACGCAAACACGCAAAACUUGAAUCACGAUGCUUAGGUAAGCGUUAAAUCUUGUUUAUGGUGAUUCAUACUUAAUUAUAGAUCUUAGAAUCAUAUUUUCAAGUUGUAAUUGAUUAGAAAGUUUCUAAGAGCUUGUAAAACUCGAACAAUGCAUUUUCAACGAAAAUUGCAUUGUUGUACCGGUACAAGGGUGUUGCUGUUCCGGUACAGACAUCGGCUAUUGCCGCUGAGUUUUUCGAUGGUUGUUCGGGUACAACCAUCAUGGCUGUACCGGUACAAGCCCUGUUCCGGAACAAGCUGAAGUCUGUUCAGGGUACAGAAGCUUCGCAGAAAAAUCUUCCGUCAUGCUAUACCCUCGACAGCUUCCCUUGUACCGGUACAAGGUGCUGAAUAUGGAAAGAAACUUUCUAAUCCUACUCCGGUUUGAUUCUAAAAUCUAUAAAUAAGCUACUGGGCUUCUCUAACAUAUCAAGCAUCACGAAAAUACAUAUUUAAGAAACCCUAGAGGCUCGGAUUUCAUCUAAAACCUAUUUUCUACAUACGGCCUCUUUUAAAUCAAAUCGAGAGAUUGGAUUUUCAUAUCAAUAUGUCGAUUUGAUCUCCGCUUCGCUUGGAGUUCUCUUUCCUGGUUUUCAUCGAUACUUUAAGCGAAGGAUCACCAUACACAUAAUGUUCUUCAUGAUGGCGUCGUGGAUUCGGCGUGUUUGACGGCGGUUCGUGGAUUCCGAUCGAGGGCUCGUGGAUUCGAGUGGCGUUCGUGGAUUCGGACGUGAGUAAGGCGUUCGUGGAUUCAGACGUGAGGGCGUGGACAACCCGGAGGAUUGCGUGAGAUCCAUAGGAGGUUAAGAGAGGUUGAGUCCGUGGAGUCGGUAAUCACCUUGUAAUCUUUUCUCUUAGUGAAUUAUUUUUUCGCAUGUUGGCCCGUGGGUUUUUCUCCAAGUUGGAGUUUUCCCACAUAAAUCUCGGUGUGCUUUUUAUUUUCCGCAUUUAUUUUUAUUGCAUCGAGAUUUGUGGUUUUUGGCCGUUCACCUAUUCACCCCCAUCUAGGUGAUAGAUACAAUCUAGAUAGAUCCUUGGGCUCCUCAAAACUUUCAGGGAGCAGGUACCGGUACUCCAAUUUGAGUACCGGUACUCAGCUCUGCUAGGGGCUGACAUUGAAUGGUUGCAAAUAGCAAUUGUUGGAGGGUUAAAUUGAAUGGCCGUGACAGUUUGUGCCAUUAGUUAUUUUGCCUACAAAUUUGUAUUAGUUUUUUCUGUCUUGUAUUACGUCAGUGUUGAAUUAAUUUAAUUUUGCAGUGAAAGAAAUUUAUAUUUUGUAUCGUACUAUUAUUUUUAGUGAAAGAAAUUGUUUUCAUAUGUAGCUAAUAGUUUUGUAAAAAAAUUGGGUAAAGUAUUUGUAAUUUGAACUCAAGAAAAUUUUAAAUCGUAAAAUUUGGUAAUUUCAAAGUCACAAAAGAAUAUUAAAAAAUUAUAUUGGUAACAAAUUACGCAAAAAUUGCAAUCAUCUAAAUUUAAAUGCAAAAAUUAAAAGCUUUUAUUUACAUAGAUUCAUAUGAGGUGUAUUUUGGUCUUUUUAUCUCUAUAAUAAUCCACUAUCCUUCUUAUUCCACUUGCUCCAACCAAACACUAUUGUAACGUAUGAAAACGUCGAUAGCGAUUAUCGAACUUUAGCCAAAUUGGUUAAAGUGCCGAGAAAAAUGGAUGGAUAAGUCCCAUUUAGCAUUCCAACAAAGUUGGAAGGGCUAAAAAUAAGUUUAAGAGGUGUUAAAAGGGUUUUAGCAUCGACCGGCGUGAAAUAGAAUCGAAAACGGCGCAAAUACAGCAUUCUGGGCAAAGUGUACCGGUAUAAUCAGCAAGUUGUCACCGGUACAGCCUUGCAGCCCAAGGAGAGAUUGCUCUCGGGUUUGACUUUUCAUGGAAAUGUACCGCUACACCCCUGGUGUGUACCUGUACACUUUGGUAAAAUCCGAGCAGUUUGCUCUCGGGUUGCCUCUGUGCAGGAAAUAUACCGGUACAAAAUCCCGUGUACUGGUACACUUUGGUCUUGCAGCAACAAUGAAAUCUGCUGCAAAUAGAAGGAAGUGGAGGGUUUUAUUUGUAAUUGUUACAACAUGUUAAUACCCCAAGCACCCUUCCCUCUCUCUUUCACAGCCCACACCUCACGCCCUCUCAUUUCUCUCUUUUUCUCUCUAGAAAGCUCUCCAAGGAGCAAGGAGGAGUAGGAGGAGAAGGAUUUUUGGAGGAUUUUGGAGCUUAGAGAAGAUCUAGAACUCUCCUACAAGGUGGAUAUUGGUGAGCUUUGGACCAAGGUGAGGUUUUCAUAAAAACCUAGGCUAGGGUUUGUGUUUAUGUCCUAAAAAAAUUAGGUUUUGAUCUUCUAAUGAGUAUAGAAACCUAGUUGGAGCUAUAGAACACAUGAAACCCUAGUUUCUUCAAAGUGCUCUAAUGGGGGAUUUCUAGGGUUUACUUAAUAUACCCUAAAAAUGGUUUGGAUGGUUCUAAAUGAACUUCUAGAGGUUAGACAAGCUCUCUUUUGCUUGUUUUAGAGAUCAAAACCUAGGAUUUAAUAAAUGGCAAUAUUAGGGCACCCAAUUUGGGGCUUUUGCCUCCGAAUGUUUCUAAGUCAAAUUAGCCUUGUAGAAACCUAAUUAGGGGUAUUCCCGACGCGUAGGACAACUCCGUUUGACGUUACGAAAAAGUUUAGAUGAAGUUAUUGAGAAAAAGCCUAAUUUGGCUUCAUUUUGCAGCAGGUGAAAAAGUAGGGCUUCAAAAAUCCCACGAAAUUCACCGUAGCAUCCCUACAACCAUCUAAGGUGGGUGGUGCAAUCCGAGGACCUCGGAAUUCCUUUUAUGUCUAAAGUGUCAUAUUUGAGCAUAUGUGUAUUGAGCAUGAAAUUGCAUAGUAGGGUUAUAUGUGAGUAUUUCAUUGCAUGUUGUGAGUACAAAUGCAUGUGAAUUACUAGCAAAAUUGUGAGAAUUUAUAAUAAACCUUAUUUAUGCAUGACAAGUGAUAAGAAUCUAGUGGACUUAGUAAACAAUGUGACAUCUUGACAUAGAAGUAGAAAAUGACAUUGAUGAGUCGAGAAUGCUAGAGUUGGAACACUUAGAAAAACAAGUGUGGCAUGUGUACAAGAAUAUAGUAGUGUAUAUGACACUAGUGAAAAAGGUGUGAUAGCGACAUUAUGACAAUUUCAACCUUAGAGUUAAGGGUCAUAUAUGCAUUGUUUCCUUAUAGUUAAGGAAUGGAUUGAACUUGACAUCCUUAUAGUUAAGGAUUGGAUCAUACUCACCUGUAAGUUCUUGCUCGAGGGUGGUAGCUCCCUCUCGGGCGAUGUGCUCCGGAAUUAUCAUCACUCGGUGUGGUAGUCUCCCCAGAGGACGGUCCCGUCGGGUGCAUGUAGUAGUCUCCCCAAUUUUUGGGAUUUGUGUUGGUGAGUCUAUUAUGGGCGAAACCUACGAGCUAGCCUAGAGAUUGCGUUCUGAGCAGUGGCCUUGCAUUCAUCAUGAGUACUUUAUUGAGCAUAGCAUUAUUUAUUAUUCAGGCAUAUUAGCUGCAUUUGCUUUAGCUUGGUUACUAUCUAUCUAUUCUUCUAUUAUGCCUGAUUUAGAUCUAGUGGGAAAGUCAACGCGUCGGUUACCGAACCCACUGAAAACUUUGUUGUAGUUCUCACCCCACUAUUUCCACAGAGCCAAGACCGAGCUAGCCGGUGGACAACUGCGGUAAGGGCAUCGCGCCCUAGAUAGAGACCUCCCGAGUGGGUUUCCAUUUUGGUUUAGUUGCAUACCUUUGUACAUCAUCUUUUGUAUUUUGAUGACUAUAGAUGUUAAAAGAAAAAGACCAUGAAUGUUGUUAAAGAUUUUAUAUUUAAAUGUAAGAACUAUAUUUUGAGAUCAUAUGAUGUAAAAGAGAAAAAAUGACGCAAAAAUAUAAAUGAUUUUCUAAGUGUAGUUUACUACUUUCACUAUUGGCUAUUGCUUGCCCUCGUGCAAGCCAUUGUGUAUACUUCCGCUUAUGCAAUUUUUAUACUCUAUCUGUACCUGUUGUUGAGCCUUAGGCGGACAGGGAAGGCUCUGUCCGUUCGGUGUCUGUUCGACUCUCUCAAACCGGCCAAAAGGAUAGGGCUCGGGGCGUGACAACUAUUUUGUUUAUAUCUGGACUAAACCCAAUUCUCAACCAAGCACAAAAUUACUUAACUCCACCCUAACCCUGACCUUAAUCCUAUCUCUAAAAUAACUAGUUCUUACUUAACUCCGAACGAAACGAAGCCUGAAGGUUUUUAGUUUUGAAAUGACAAGAGAAGUAAAAAUAGAAAGAGGGGGGUUGGAUGGGGAGCUAUAGGAUUACAAUCACGGCACUCCUCAAACUUUUAACUAAGUAAAACGCGAAUAGAAAAACUAAAAUUUAAAGUAGUCUUAAUGUUAAGAAAUUAAAGUUAAAGGCAUCUAUUUCAAAAUAAUUUAUAGGUGAGGUUUUUCUUUUUUUUCUGGGGGGUGGGGUGGGGGCGAUACUGCGGACACCGGCACCUUUUGGAUUGUGCACUAGACAUUUCUUGCUUUUAUGGUGUUUUCUUGAUUUCACUCUCUAAAGAGUCUUUCAUUUGCAAUCAUCUAGUCUAGAGCAAAAUAUUUGGCAUAUUGAAUGGCUUAGACUUUCUACUGUAGAUCGUGAGUUGCAUUUUUUUUCUCCCCCUAAUAAUAUCCUUCAAAUAACUCCAACAAAUUCUAACAAAUUCUUCCAAGUUUUAAUUAAGAUCAUGACAACAACUUUCUCUCAAUUUAUUAGAAAUCAUGCUUCACCAAACCAAGUGCUUGCUUGACUUGUGUUCCGUAGCACAAGCUUUAGCACUCGAGCGAAUUUGUUUCCAGCAAUUUAUAAAGUUUUGCUCUUGUGAGGAGGUAAAUUAAGUAAGCUUUUAGACAAAGCUUUUGUUUUUCCUUGGAGCAAAAAUACAGGAAACUAAAAUCGUAUCAAUCAUUUUCCAACGGCUCUUUACAAUGUCUCAAACAUCUUCUUCCAAAAUUCCAGCUCAUAAAUUAGGAAAAAAAAAAUAUUAAUUCAACAAGACUCGAAAGAGAAAAUUCAACAAAGUGUGAAAAAAAAACUAUUACUUUUAGAGCAACCCAGCUUGCUCCACAUUCCUAUAAGUAAGAACUUAACAGUAGCACCAAACGAUCACACAGAAACUUAAAGCAAGAACAGAGAGAGAGAGAGAGAGAGAGAGAGAGAGUGAGUGAAAAAAAGAAAAAAAAAAACAAGAAAUGGAGCUCCGCUUCCUUUCGCUCGAUCCCGUGAUACUCGUCUCCUCUCUCCUGUGCCUCUCCGCGUACGCGCUCCUCGUCCUCGUCGCCAGGUCCAGGAGCAACUGCGGGGCACGAAUCUCGAAGCUGCCGCCGGGCCCGCGCGCGCUCCCGCUGAUCGGGACGAUGCACCACGUGGCGCGCGCGGCGCGGCGUGCGCCGGGGGGCGGGACCCAGCGGGCGCUGCGGGAGCUGGCGCGGGUCCACGGGCCCCUGAUGGGCCUGCGCAUGGGCCAGCUGGACCUGGUGGUGGCCUCGUCGCGCGAGGCCGCGGAGGCGAUCCUCCGGACGCACGACCGCAACUUCGCGUUCCGGCCGCCGCUGCUGGUGGGCCAGAUCCUGGCCUACGGCUGCAGCGACAUGGUGUUCGCCCCCUACGACGCCUACUACAAGCAGCUGCGCCGCAUCUGCCUCACGGAGCUGCUCGGCCCGAAGCGCGUCCGGGCCUUCGCGAGCAUCAGAAGGGACGAGGUGGCCAAGCUGGUCGAGGACAUUACUGCCGCUGCCGCUGCCGCGGCGGGGCCGAAGCCGUCGGCGGUGAAUUUGAGCCGCAGGCUGACCACGAUGACGAACGCCGUGAUCUCACGGGCGGCGUUCGGGCAGCAGAACGCGCAGCACCACCGCUUCCUGGAUGUAGCCAAGGCCGCUGUGGAGACCGCGGCGGGCUUCAGCAUCGCCGACGCCUUCCCCUCCUUCAAGUUCCUCGACGUCAUCUUCGGCCUCCGCGCCAGGUGCAUGCCCCCACACACCCACACAUCGAUCCCUGCCACCCUGUGCAGCAGAGCUUGUGUGCGAUAAUAAUUAAGAUAUCACAUUGAUGCCACGCAGCUAGCUAAAUUGAAUUCUAAAUAAAUCUAAAAAAUUGGCGUUUAAGUGAGCUGUAUUGAAACGACAUGCAGUAUGUGAUCCUGAAAUUCUAAUGAAGUACCAUGCGAGACAACAAUGUUUCUUGAAAAAGUAAUCAACACCAAAUUCGAAGUAUAUAUAUAUAUGCUCCAAUAUUACUGUAGAAGUACAGUAAGUAUUUUAGUAUUUCAUAUCCAAUGCCUGCAGGUUACUGAAAGUACGUAAGGAACUUGACGAAAUCUUCGAUGAGAUAAUCGAACAACAUCAGCAAAAGAAGUCGAAUGCCGGCCGCGACGGUGAGGACGAGGAGGACUUGAUAGACCUACUCCUCAGGCUUAAGGAUCAUGGCGACCUCGAAAUCCCUAUUUCAAUUGAUAACAUAAAGGCCGUGAUUCUGGUUAGUAUACUAUGGCACUAUCAGAAUUGUCAAUAGGUUUGGAUAUUAAAGUUUUAUCGACAUUUGAACUCAUGAUGUAGUUUCCAUCAAAGUUAACUAAUUGGAGAUGCAUACAUAACCCUGGCAGUGAGAGAUUGAAAGAUACCAAAUUUUUCUAUACGUUACUGAACUUUAAGUAAAAAAUGAACUUUAAUUUAUCUCAAUUAAGAUAGUGAACUUCAAUUUCUAUCUUUAUUCAGUCACGUCCUUAAGUUCUAUCUAAAUUUUCAAAUAAAACGAUAAAACAAUGUUGAAUUUAGUUGUCAUUUCAUUUUCUAGAGACGACAAUCACUACUAAUUUAUCUGAAAUGAUCUGUUAUAACUGAAAAGUAAAAUAUAUCAUAUGUUUCAGCAAUUUGAAAUAACUCGCAAUCGUUGCGGAAUUAUAUUUUAGUAGCAGCUAAAUUAGCUGACAAAUUAAUUAUUACUCUGUCAGAAAAAAAACAUUCCGAGUUUGAGAAGUAAUCCAAUUAAACUAAAAAGUUCAAUGAUAACUUUUCCAAAAUUAAAACUCUUCUGUUUCAAAUAGUUAAAAUGCAAUAUAUAUCUCUUAUUAAACUUUAAUAAUUAAAUAACCUUUUUUUUUGUGAUCUAUGUACCGCAUUUUAACUGGUCCAGCUGGAGCGGUAGUUAGACUCGGUCAACCAAUAUUUUCUCCUCAAUAAUGGUAGAAGAGAAUUUUGUUGUGAAAGUGCUAUCUCUUUUUCUUAUUUGUCUUUUUUUUUUUGCAGUAAAUUAUAUCUAAACUUUAGGCAAAAUUUUAUUUUAAAAUAUCAAAUUAUGAACAUAGAAUUAAAUUUGGAACGUUUGCAUCCAAUUUACCCACGCAGCCUUUGAAAGUUACAAUUUUAACCUUCCACGUUUUAACUCGUUUGAUUUGUGCUCUCUUAAGAACUCUGAUAAAUUAUUGGAUACAUUCGGUGCAUCAGCAUAUUCAUGCACCAUACUUUCGUUUGUUUGUUCAUCAUGUCCGAUAGUUCCAUCUUUGUUGCCAAAAGAUUUCUAAGUAGCACCCUACUUAAAAUGAAAUAAAUGAUUAGAUUAAAAGUAUGACAUUUAUGAAAAUCUUAUUAAGCUACAAAUCAAAGAAUUUCAAAGAAUAGAUGGUAAAAUAUAUAUAAAUGGCGCAAACUUGGUGUAAAAUUUUAUAUUAUUUAUUUUUAGGCUAAAUUAUAGAAAAUAUUUCUGUAAAUAUCCGUUUUUUCGCUUUUUUUCCCUAACUUUUGAAAAUCUAUAUUUUACCUCCCCAACAUUAAUUUUAUGUUAUUUCACCCCCCUCCUGCAAGAUUCCAUCACUAAUCCAUCCAUUUCUUAUAAUUUAUAUCAAAAAAAAAAUUCUUAUAAAAAAUUGUAAGAAUAAUUUAAUCAUUUUGCUUUCUCUAUUAACGUCGUCUUUCUGAAAAUAUUUUUAAAAUUUUAAGUGCACAAAAUAUAAAUUUUUUAAAAGUCAAAAAGAAAAAAAAUAAAAAAAUAAAUAUUUUUUGCAUGAAAGUUUUGUGUAAUUUAGCUACAUUUUUAUUGUUCUUCCUUUAAAAAAAAAAAAAAACUAGGAUCUAUUUCUUGCGGGGACGGACACGUCGUCAGCGCUGCUCCAAUGGGCCAUGUCGGAGCUGAUCAGAAACCCCGACGCGAUGGCAAAGGCGCAAAAGGAGGUCAGGGAAGCACUGAAAGGAACGGACGGCAUUGUCGAAGAAGCCCAAGUAAACGAGCUCAACUAUCUCAGAAUGGUGGUGAAAGAAGCCCUACGACUGCACCCUGCAGUGCCGCUGCUCAUCCCUAGAGUGUGCCAGUCGACGUGCCAGGUGGAGGGAUACGAGAUCUCGCCGGGGACGCGCGCCGUCGUCAACGUGUGGGCCAUCGGGCGGGACCCCAAGUACUGGACGGAGCCGGACCGGUUCAUGCCGGAGCGGUUCGCGGAGCCCGGCGCAGCCGACUACAAGGGGACCAGCUUCGAGCUGCUGCCGUUCGGGUCGGGGCGGCGGAUGUGCCCUGGGAUGGUGUUUGCACUCGCCGGCGUGUUCGUGUCCCUCGCAGAGCUGCUCCGUCGGUUCGAUUGGCGGAUGCCGGACGGGAUGACGCCUGAGGAGCUCAGCAUGGAGGAGACCAGCCUCGCGCCAGCGGAGCGCACUACAAAAAAAAUAGAUUUUAGAAGCGGUCGAAACCGCUGGUAAAAGUCUAUAGAACCGCUGGAAAAAUGUUUCCCGACAUUUGUAAAACCGUCGGAAAAAAUUUUAUAACCGCUGUUAGAUCUCUGUCGCUAAAAACCUUUGCCGACAGUUUAUACAACCGUUGGAGAAGAUAAUAAUUUUAGUAACGCUUUUCCGACCGCUACUAAAUAUAGUAAAAAACGCUAGUAUAAAUUAAUAAAUUUAUACCAUCGGUUUCAUAAUUGUUGUGAAUUCAAUCCAAACUACAAAUUAUACAAUUAAAAGAAAACUAGACAAGAUUUUAAGACUCUUUAAAAUGAGAUAUAUGAACAAAUUCAUCAUCCAAACAAAUUUAAAUUUGAUUACAUACGACAAUUGUCAAACAAGAGAAGUCAAAUCAUUUAAUCAAAUAGGAGUUUGUAGAGUAAAAACAGAACUGUCAAUCAAAACUUUUAUUCAAAGAAGUUUUCAAUCUAAAAGAAAUAAAAUCCAUAUGAAAUCAAAGUUUUCUACGAGUUCUUCAACUUAUUUUAUGAAUUCACUCCGCAUGAAACACCAAUCCUUCCUCUUUUUUGAAAAUUCCUGCAAAAAAAAAAAAUCAAGUUAGUGAAACAAAAAAAUGAAAAGGUCUUAAAGAUUAUGAGAUGAACCUCAAUAUAUCAAUAUAUGUGGGUUCUACUAGAACAACGAAAUGAAACUAGAAAGCUCCAAGAGACAAGGUUUUGGAAGCAAAACGGAAGUAUAUAUAAAAGUAAAAAUUCUAGCGCUAUGUUUAAUAAAUCUCUAGGAAAAGAAGGUGAAAGUCGAAAUCCAACCUCGUAGGCAAGAAAAUACAAGCUGAAUUUCAUUUCAGGGAAAUCCAGUCGCUUCAAUAACCUGGUUUUUCAUGCAAGAAAAAUUAUAAGCCUAACGCCCAAAAUUAGGUGAACAAGAAGAACUCCAACAAUAGAACUUGCAAUGGCUUCUUCUAUGUUUAAGAACUUAACAUAAGAAGUGUAGAUAUGAAAUAGAAGCUCUACAUUGUUGACACUUUUUGUCAGCUUCUUGGCACCAGUUUAAUUAAACAAAACAUUUUUGCAUCGUCAUGACCUCCAGCAAAGCAAAUAAAAGGGACAUUAAUUGAAAUUAAUUAAUCAAAAUAGGUUUUCUCUGGGCAUGGAGUUAUGCUUGUCAGGUCAAAAUGAUCCUAUUCAGGUAGCUUGAAUUAUGGAUAUCGCAAUAUACAUUCUGGGUACAUACUCUAGACACGUGCCAGUGUUUAUCAUCAGCCAAUCAUUGAUUUAUUUCUAAAAUUGUAAAGACUGUACCACAGAUCAAUAAGUAAUGAAGAAAAGAAUAUCUGAAUGGAACUUACUUCAUCCCCAACACACGAGAGUAGAAAUCAAGACUCACUUUAGGAUCUUUAACUCGAAACAUCUGCAAACCAUUAAAAAAACCAAAAAUUCAGAUUUGCUUUGUCAACAGAAGAUUACCCUCAAAAACCUAACUGCCUAACUCAAUGGGAAAAUAUAAGAAAAUAAAGGGAAAAGUACACCAUCAGUCACUAAAUUUACAGUGAAAUCUCACUUGCGUCACCAAACUUAAAUUUGGUUCAAUUGAGCUACUAUAACAUGGCUACCAGUUCACCUCUUGGCGAUGAUGUAAUCACUAAUUCAGCUGCCAACACACCUCUUGGAGACGGCGUGACAGUUGAAAAAUAAUUAGUCAAAAAAUGUCGCAACUUGAUUAACUACGAUCAUUGCCGCAUCAACUUUUGCUAGCUGAAUCAGCCGUCACAUCAUUCCUUAGAAAAAAUGAUUCAAAUGUAUGUAAACCUCCUUAUCUGUAGGCCAAUUUCAAUUAGACUCCUUUAACUACUUUUCUUUUGAUUGAAACUCCCUCAACUUCUAACUGUUUCAAUUUUAGUUACUUUCUUAAAUCGAAUCAUCCCACUUAGUUAAUAACCUCUCAAUCAUCCCACUCGGCAAUAAAGGCUCUUCAAAUAGAUAGAGAGAAACAAUUUUCAAAUUACAGCUGUAAAACAAGAAACCCAUCCAUCAACUAAUGUAGAAGCAAGGGUCCAAUAUCACUAGAACAACAAUGGCAAAAAAGGUACAUAGAAAUAAAGAGGGAACAUGAAGCAUCAAGAAGUUUAAAAAAGAGCUUAUCACAUAUACUACAAAACAUCACAGGUAGAAGCACCCACAGCCCACGUGACUAAUAGUGAUGUCUCUUGAUGUUCUAGUGUCCACCAUUUUGAGUUUAGGUAACACCCAAUAAAUCCACUAGCAUGGUGCUUAAAAGAGAUAACACAAUAAAGAUAUUAAACUAGACUAAAAUCUAGAGAUUCUAUACACACAUAAAAAGGGAACUAUACAAUUAACUCCUUAACAUAACAAAAUACAAAAACACCCAUCAAACUUAAAAUAACAUAACUAUAGACAAACUAUGCGAAAGAAGAUAUGAAAAUAUAUGUAUUGUGGAAACUUUAUAACGAAUUAGUUACCUUACAAUUAAAUUCCACUUUCUCUUUGAGUGUCACAAUCAGCUCUACCAUCAACAUCUUGAACCUACAAUAUGAAAAGCAUUAUCACAUAGAUAAGAAACAAUCUAAAAAAACAUAACAUACAAUAAUUAUUUUAAAAUUUAGAACUAAAUGCUUAAGGAUUGAAAUGGAUUCAUGACCUUUGAAGAUUGAGCAUCCGACUGCUUUGAAAAAAGCAUAUCUACUUUGGCCUCUAUAGAAGCUAAUCUCUCCUUAAGGUCAUAUAUUUCUCUAUCUUUAUCUCUUAAAAUUUCUUCCAUUGAAAUGAUCUUUAAUUGAUGAGAAUUGUUUGACGAUACGUCACUUAGCAUAGAGGGUGUUGGACCAAAUCCCACACCACGAACACGACCAUGGCGAUCUUGGCCAAUCACUUUAGAAUAUGCAUCAUCAGCCGCCCACAUUGAGCUACCUCCUGAGCUGCCUUGAGUGACAUCCGAUUCUUUUUGCAUUAAUUUCUUCAACUUCUUCUGAAAUUUGGAAAAAAAGAAAAAUAUGUGUAUAUUAAAAUAUACAAUGAAGAAAGUAAAUAUAAGUAACAAUAUAAAUUCUCGAACUAUACAAUAUUUUUUUUGGCGCGCUUUGUAACAGGCUCUCCAUUUUUUUGUUGAUGAAGCGCAAUAUAAAGCUUUCCCCUACUUGGAACUUCUCCAUGCUUCUCCUACUCAUAAAAUAUUUUAUUAAAGAGGACAUAAAGUUAAAAGGCAGCAUGCAAGAAACUGAAAAACCUCCUACUUACCAUCUCAAAUGCAUACUGUGCUAUUGAUUUUGAACCACCAGUAUGAAAGUCCUUUUUUUUAUCUCUAUUUUCUUUAUUUUUUCUACUACGUUCCUGCAAGCAUAUUGCCCCAAUUUUAGCAAAUAGGUUCCAUCUCUAAAGAAAAUAAAAAAAAUGUAUAAGGCAAGAAAUUGCAAAUUCAGUACAUUGAUAGAGCCAAUUACUUUUCCAAACAAUAUAAAUAGUGCAAUAUAGUUUUGUAGAACAAGAUAUACCUUCGCUUCAUCAGAACGCCAAUAAUCAACUAAUCUAGCAAAUUGGGCAUGAUUAACAGAUGGUGGUGCCCUAGCUAAAAUCUCCUUCCUUUUUCGUGAUUCAUCAUAAUAUUUCGCUUUCAACUCGCACUUGUAAUUUCUCCAAAGAUCGCCAAGCUUCUUUAUUGUGUUAUGCCGAAUCUUUUCUCUUGUUGUUGGAUCUCUCGGGAAUUCAAACUUUGACUAUACCCAAAAGUUCUUCACAUUAGAUAAUAAAUUUGUGCCAAAAUUAUAACAAACAACAAGAUAAAUAAUUGAAUUCAACUACCUCAAGAACUUCCCAACAAGAAUUUUUGUACUUAACAUCCAUCUUACGCCAACUCAAGUAAUCAAUUGGAGCUAGAUUUGGCUUCCUGACUACAGUACCCAUAAAUCUAUGAAGAAUGCUGCCUUCUUUAUCAAUGGGCUGAAAAUAGUUAUUAUAUUUCAACAUAAUCCGUUGAUUAGAAGGCAAAUUCCAAAUGUCAGACAUACGAGUGACCCCUCGUUUUCCACGUGCAGAUGACCCACCUAUUUGAUUAACAAAAGAAACAUACAAACAACACGAGUUUUUAGCAAUUCUUUUUCUAAAAGUAAAUAAGCAAUUCUUUCUUUACUUCUCUAUAAUACAAGUAUUUAGCAAAAUAUAGUUACUAUAAGUAUUAUGAUAUUGUUGAAGCUAUGCAGGAAAUAAAGUGAAAAAUAGAUGUUAACUUUAGAUAUGAAGAAUUAAAAUAGCCAUUUGAAGCAGCAAACAAAUCAAUUAAUAAAAUUCAAAUAGGAAUCUAAGGCUAGUCAAAGUUGAAAUAUAAACACUUUUUUAAGUUUCAAAUGAUGCAUUUAAACACUAAUUAUCAACUAUAUAAACUAAAUCAAACUAUAUAUAGAUGUUAAAAAUCAAUGAUAAGGAAAGAAUUUAAGGUAUACCAGUGAUACAAAUUUCCACUUCAUUAGAAUCUACUUGGUCGACAUCAUCAUCCAUUUCAUGCGUCUCGGCAUCUGGUUGGUGCGGAAGUGAAAAUUCUCGAGUCUGUUUAGGGCAUUGUGUCGGUAUCUCCACAUCACCCUCUACAGAGCAAAGCUUGAGACGUUUCUUUGCCAUUCCUGCACAUAAUGUUACGCAUAUCAUUAAUAAUAGGAAACAACAAAAAAAAAUUAGUAAUGACAUUAGAAAUUACAACUUUUAUAACAAUGACAUUUCUAUAUUUAAUUUGCUUAUGAUAUUGAAACAAAAUGCCAGAAAAUAUACAAUACAAUUUUGCUUUCUCUACUUGCUAGAGCAACUACUUGUUGAGUCAUCAUCAAACUAGGAGCUAUCUGUGUACUUGUCCUCCUGUAUUAAGUUUUCAGAAGCAAGCGUCUUGUUGACUGUAGUUCCAUCUACAUCAUUUCUAACCCAACUAAGAUAGUCAUUUGUAUCGCUUAAUAAACUUGCAAGAUCUAUAUUAUAUGGCUCACUAUCAUAGUAUGUGUUGUCGUCAGCUUCACCAAUUCCAGCACUACCAAUAUCAAACACAUCUCUAGGUUUUGUCUUAACAACAGUGAGCCAAUCUGUGCCCUUUCCACCAAAUUGCAAUUUACCGAGACAAACACUCCCCCAGUGAAAAGAAGGGGUUGGGAAUUUCUAUUUAAAUGCAUUUAGAAAAUUGCAAUAAUAGCAUGGAGCCAACAAAUUACAGAAUCAUAUACAGCACCAGGCAGGGAUUAGAGUUAGCAGAUAAUAGAAUAUGUACAAUUAUUUGGUAUUGAACAUCCUACAGAAUGAGCAAAUAAUCCAGCAAACAUGAGAUUAAGGGCCACUCAACACAUUUCAGAAUCAAAGAAAUAGCACAACCACAUAAAGAUCAAGAACAUACAAAUGAGUCAAGCUGACAACUAGGAAGAAGCAAUGAUAUACGCAGUUUACUAACCAACAGAAAUACAACAACCUAUCUGAAGAAUGGAUAUAGCUCUAGGAAAGGAAACUCCCCUAUGCCAAAUUGGUCAAAAGGUGGAAUUGCAUUUAGAAUUAGCUAUGGAUAAUCCACUACUUUGUGGAUUAUCCUAUAUUAGAAAAUUAAUCAAAAGAUUCAAAACCCAGAAUAACUUUACCAAAAAUACAACAACCAAAGAACAAAAACAAAAAAAACAAAAGGUUAACUUAACAAAACCUAUCAAAUUACAAACCUAAAUUAGAGCAUUAAUCACAACUCCACAAAUUCACAAAAUACAACCCAAAUCUCAACUAAUCAACCAAAUUCAUACUAGUAGAAGAAACAAGAGAAAUCCAGUCAAAACUUACUACAUCUCACCCAAAUAAAUAAAUAAAUAAAACAUUAAACCUAGAAAAACCUAAAUUAGAACAUCAAUCAAAUCCCAGUAUAUCUUUACCACCAAAAAAGCACCGACGAAAUUCAAAUCUGAACCCAAAAUAAUAAUCAGAAAUUCAUACCAGGAGGAGUCGAAGCCGAUCUAUCGCGCACCACAAAGAGAGCUCACCUACGAGAGAUCAGAGUCGGAGAGCGAGAUCAGAGUCGGAGAGGGAGAUUGGUGUCCGAGAGGGAGAGAGAGUGUUGAGGGAGAGAGAGGGGGUCUGAUCGUGAAGAGAAGGGGGCGUGGUGGGGGGAGGGGGUUUGCGCGGCGGAGUGGGGUGUGCGUGAGGUGGGGAGGGGUCUUUUUCUUUUUUGUUUUUGGGGCAGGGUUUUAGUUGGAUGAAACAUUUCGUUUGGGUUGAGUUUUAGUUUGAAUCAAAAAUUUUUUGUUUGAGUUUUAGUUUGAAUCAAAUAUUUAAAAAAAAAUAAUGCUAAAUCUACAAUCAGAAAGUGGUCGUAAUUUUAUAAGUUCACUAUAAUUUUAUAACUUUUUUUAUUUUAAUACCAGAAUCCAUAUAUUACAUAUUUGUACCUUUAAAAAAUAAAAAAAAUAAUAAAAAAAUUAAAAAAAUUCUCAAUCAUUAUAUUACUUUAUACCGGCGGUUUAUAACUGUUAUAAUAAUUAGUUAAAACCGCUGCUAAAAUAUUUUUGCGAGCGCUUAUGUUAAGUGUUAUUAAAUUAACUGUCGUCCUAAAUCAAGUUUUUUGUAGUGGCGGAAGGUCGACCUCGUCUUGGUCGCCACCCCUUGCAGGGAUCCGUAGGAAACUAUUUAAGUACAAUAAUAAUGACAUGCAUAAGCAUCCNGUUUAUGGAUUUUAGUUAGUACGUACUUGUAGUUAUGUUAUGUUAUCUAUUUAGAAUAAAGUUAUUCGGUUUACGUAUGCGUAAUAUAUAACGAGUUAGAAUGAUAGAAUAAAAGAAGCUCUUUAAAACCUCUGCAUGGUUUCAACCAUUCCUAGAGCAAGUGGCAAAGGGCUUGGUGGUUGGUACCCGAGAUCUUAAGUUCGAAUCCUAAUUAAUUCACAUUUCCAGCUAAAUUUAUUUUCUAAAUGAAAUAAACGAAGCGGGUAGCGUGUUACCUAUCUCUUUCUCUCAAAAAAAAAAAAAUCAUCAAAAAGUUUAAUUAGUGUGAAAUAUGAGUUGCAACACAGUAGUAAAGAAACUUCAUCUAAAAGGAAAAAAGAAAAAUAAUCCUUUUCUUCAACAUUGCCUAGUUUACAAAACCAUAAGGUAAAGAAUAAUUUGGAAGAAAGCAAGAAAAAAAAUACAAAAAAAAAACUUAAUUAGCUAUAGUGUAAAAGAAAUUAAACAUAUUAUGAGGACUGAGAUUUUGGCAGUGUAGCUAAACUCUCUGUUGAUAUUAUUUUUGUGUGUAAUUUAAUUAUAUAAGCACUCAUCAAGUUUCGAGAGAAAAUAAGUUAGGAUGGAGAAGUUACGCGACCUGUACUAAUCACUUAAAGUGAAUAGUAGUAACUCCGGUUUUCCGAAGAAGCCAAUGAGUGGAGAUGGCUUCUGAUGCAUAUUUGACUCUGUUCAUAGUGAUCCAAUAGCUCGUUUUCAAUGGUUCGACUGGCCUGAACCCAAUGGCACUGACAGAUUUGGAUUUUGACGCACGAUUUUCGAGAAAAAGGGAUUUUAUUAGAUUUACACAUUUAUAUAUGUGUGUGGUUUUUGGUAAUUGAAGAGUGGAUGAGUUUCGUUGCAAAUCGGCGAUCAUAUCGGGCGAAAUGAAAUUGCGAGUUUGAUACCCUGGUCAUGCUGAAUGCGCUGGCGCAGUCCGUUCGUAAAUAUGACGGACGGAUCUUCCAAAAAUUCAUAAUGUUUGCUAAAGGGUCGAUUUUGGCAAAACAGAAAAUCCGCAAAACACCUUAUAUUUUACGUACCGUUUUGAGUGAUUUCGAGCAAGGAGGUACAUCUGUGCGAUUUACUCAUGCCGUGAAGGACUCAGUAUGAAAUUCUGAGUCUUCGGGGACUUUUGCGCAAAAUUGCAAUUGGUAUAUAUGUUGCGAUCUAGGGUUUUCUUAGCCUAACCCUAGACCUUUAGCUCCCUCAGCUGACCUCCCCAGCCGCCAAGCACCUUCCCCUACCCUCGCCGCACGCGCCCCGGCCGUCGGCGCGCGCCUCCGGCCGCCGGAAUGGGCUACAUUGCUUCUCCUCCACCAACUUGCCACCAUCCCUGCCGUGGACCACACGGAAGGAUCCCCAUACCUGGGCUUCCUCCCUUGGCCUUGCUCGACCUCCGGCAGCCUCGACCGCCGGUCACCGCCGCCCCCGCGCGCUGGCAUUGCCAGUCUGGGCAGCUUGCGGCCAGCCUACGCAGGCACUGGCCGAGACCAGGGCAGUUGCUGGCCUGCGCGUCGCUGCUGCUUUGUGCCGGCCGCCCCGCCUCCCUCCGGCCUACGGCGAACCCUCGCCGUUGCCCCGGAGCUCCCCCGGCCGUCGUUACCUCGUGAGCCCGAGGCCAAGUGUACAUGUGCGACCUCGGCCUCUCCCAACGCCGCUGCGCCUCCUACCGCCGCCGGCCGGCGUGAGCCCCGAUCCUCCUCGGUCGGCCGCACCCGGUUGCCGCCGGCGCUCCUGCCCCCGGAUGCCCCUGUCGGCCGAGCUGGAGCCAGGCUCUCCAUCAACUGUGCGGCUAGGGCAUCGUUGCCCGUCGCCGCCGCCGCCUUUCGUCGCCGGCCGACGCGCACCCCAGCCUUUUUCCGUCGGCUGCACCUGCUUGCCGACGUCGCGCCCGUCGCCCGGCCGUUGCUGGCCAGCCAUAGCUUCACCUUGCCAGUUCAAAAGGAGAGAGAUAGAGAAGCUCAAGUCGGCAAAGAACUUCCAACUUCUUCAAAUCAAGCAAAGCUGAUAAGAAUAGAGUAUAAUGUGCUCUCUCAUUUACGAAAAGUCCCAAGACUUCUGAGUGUUUACGACGCCCUUAGAACUCAGCGAAGUGUUGAUCUAUGCUCUCCAAAAUCCUGAGCUCUUUCAUGCAUUCUUCGCCGAGACAAGUAUGAAGGAGGCGCUAUACCUCGUUCACUCGGCCAAUAUCACUUUUACAGAAAAGGAUUUAUUAAUAGGGACAACGCAUCAUUAUCGACCGUUAUAUAUGACCGGCACAAGUGACGGAGAAAGGAUGAACCACAUUUUAAUUGACCCUGGAUCUUCUGUGAACUUAAUGACGUUAAAAACUCUAAAGAGUCUGGCAAUGGAUGUCGGCUAUUUAAACUUAGAAAAAGUCGCAAUUCAAGGGUUCAACCAACACAGUCAAAAAGCCCUCGGGUCUAUUACCCUUCCGAUAAGGUUUGGGAAGUUGCAAACUUAGGCAAAAUUUUAUGUUAUCAAUGAAAAUACUUAAUAAGUUAUUGUUAGGAAGGCCUUGGUUGCAUAAAUAUCACGUAGUUCCGUCUACCCUUCAUCAGUGCUUGAAAUAUAUAAAAGAUGGUGAGAAAUAUAGAAUUGGUUGUGAUAUUCGACUAUUUGGAGUUCACGAAAUUCGAUAUGAAGAUGCAAGAUAUUUUAUAGAAUCAGAAGAUACAGAAGAAAAUCGUACCCUAUCGAGAGAACAAUCCUCUAAAAAGAAGAAACUUGUAGACGAAAUUAAGAGGGAGUCAACAGUGCCACAUUUCAAAAGUGACCCGGAUAGCUCCGAUCUCGAUGAAGAUGAGUUAUGUUGGGCUAUGAAGCUUCUUUCAAGCAAUUUGAAUACCCUUGAAGUCAAAAGCUCGUGAGAAGAUGAACAUCACUUUACAGCUUAUGUCAGGACUGAUAGAAUGAUUGCAAAAGCCUCUAACCUGGUGGAAGAUACAUUGGCAAUUCUCAAGGUUCCAGAAAAAUGCUACAAACUCAUUUCUGCAAAACGGGUUUCUUUUGUGGAUCAUUUAAAAACUUUUUUGUCCCGCUAAAGAUAGAAAAUAUUGAAGGAAUGAGAAUAGUAAAAAGAGGAAUCCUUUUUUAUAAAUCAGACGAUCAAAAAUCCACUGAUGUCAUCAAACCGGAGGAUUAUGAUAAUGAUAUAUACGAGGAUAUAGAAAUUCCAAAUUAUUUCUCAGCUAGCUUGAAAAAGAUGAUACACAAGUUAGGUUGCCCCACAAGGAGGUCUUGGGCCAACCACAAAGUCCUUUAACGAAUAUGGAAUCCACCUCAAAGAAGAUCCGUACUCCCAAAUGGCAAAUCUAGCAAUACAAGAGGCCUAGGAUGUUACAAAAGUUCCACUUACCAAGAUAUCUAUACCUGUAAUAUGAUCAAUGCAAAUGAGGAUAUUGCUGAACAUUUGGUCGAUGAACAAAAAUCUCUUGAACCAAAAGAUGCAUCUCAAGAGCUUGAAGAUGGGGGAUAAGCAACUGUAGACGAACUUCUCGAGAUAAAUCUGGGGACAGAAGAAGACCCCAGACCCACUUAUAUAACUGCACUAGUUCCAGAAGAAGAACAAGAGAAGCUAAAGGCAUUGCUAACAGAAUUUAAAGAUUGCUUUGCGUGGAGUUAUAAAGAAAUGCCAGACCUUAAUCCAGAGGUGGCUGUUCACAAGCUAGCUAUAGAUUCUCAAGCUCAUCCAGUCAAACAAGCACCUAGGAGGAUGAGGGUGGAUCUAGAAGAGCAAAUAAUUGUGGAAACCAAAAAGCUCAUUGAGGCAGGCUUUAUAAGGGAGGAGAAAUAUGCUAACUAGACUGCUAGCAUUGUUCCGGUCAAGAAGAAGAAUGGCCAAAUUCGUAUAUGCGUCGAUUUUCGGGACUUAAAUAAAGCUUGCCCAAAAGAUGACUUUCCAUUACCAAUAACGGAACCAAUGAUUGACAAUAUCUCAAGUUGCGAGCUAUUCUUGUUUAUGGAUGGCUCAUCAAGAUAUAAUCAAAUCAAGAAGGCGCCGGAGGACGAGAAGCAUACUGCAUUCAAAACUCCUAUUGGGAUAUAUUGUUAUAAAGUCAUGCCUUUCGGCCUCAAGAAUGCCAAAGCUACAUAUCAGCGGGCAAUGACUAGAAUAUUUGAUGAUCUACUCCACAAGACAGUGGUGCUAUGUCGAUGAUUUGGUUGUGAAAACAUAGAACAAAGAAAAUCACUUCCAAGAUCUAACCACUGUCUUCACCCGAUUGAGAGAGUAUCAGUUAAAAAUGAACCCGCUCAAAUAUGCAUUCGGAGUCUUUUCUGGUAAAUUUUUAGGGUUCAUUGUAAGGCAUAGCGGAGUAGAAAUCGAUCCUUCAAAAAUUAAAGCUAUUAUGGAGAUGCCUCCUCCAAAGGAUUUAAAACAACUUCGAUCCUUUAAGGAAAGAUUAGCAUAUAUCAAGAGAUUUAUUUCAAAUCUCUUGGUAGGGUCAAACCUUUCUCCAAACUAGUAAAGAAGGAUGCACUAUUUGUCCGGGACAUAAAAUGCCAAACAGCUUUCAAAGGCAUAAAAGGAUACUUAAUGAAUCCACCAGUACUCGCAGCCCCGAUACACGACAAACCCUUGAUAUUAUACACUGCAGCUCAAGAUGGGUCAUUGGGACCACUUUUGGCGCAAAAUAAUGAAGAAGGAAAAGAACAAGCUCCAUACUAUCUCAGUAGGAUGUUUGUGGGGGCAGAAAAUUCAUACUCACCAAUAGAAAAGCAUUGCUUAGCUCUUAUAUUUGCUGUCAAGAAGCUGAGGUAUUAUAUGCUCGAGCACAAAAUUUACUUAGUAUCAAAAGUCGAUCCGCUCAAAUUUUUAAUGACAAAACCCGUCUUGACUGGAAGGCUAGCAAAAUGGACAAUUAUCCUUCUAGAAUUUGACAUCACCUACAUACCACAAAAGGCUGUCAAGGAGCAAGCACUCGCUGAUUUUUUAGCAGCACACCCAGUACCUGACGGUUCAUCUUUGGUGUGCGAUCUACCAGAUAAAGAGGUAUUACUUGUUGAUGUUGAACAACCAUACUGGGAUAUGUAUUUCGAUGGAGCAUCUUUUAUUGAACCUGCAUAUAGCCCGGGUAUUCCGCAAGUAAGGGCGGGUGUCGGUCUAAUUUUUGUGACGCCAGAAAGAGGAAUCUUGUGGUACUCUCUAGCGCUUUCUGAUCCUCGUACAAAUAAUGAAGCUGAAUAUGAAGCCUUAAUUGCGGGACUAGAAAUAGCCAUCUUUAUGAAUAUACAACGGCUACACAUCUAUGGGGACUCUUAGUUAAUCAUUAAUCAAGUGAUGGGCGAAUAUAAAGUCUACAAGCCGGAAUUGACCAAAUAUCAGAAAAGGGUGCAAGAACUCAUAAAGGAAAUACCAAAUGUCACGCUGGAAAGGGUCUCUCGAGCUGUAAAUGGGAAAGUUGAUGCCCUAGCUAGAUUGGCUAAGGAGCUAGCUUAUCCCAAUCUUGAUGAAGUCCAUGUUACUAUCAAGAAUAGAAAGAUCCUGUCACCUACGAACUUAAAUCUCGAAGAAGAAUCUAAAGAAAUCCAGAAGGCAAAUGCGCUAAAAAUUGAAGUGGAAGAUGAUUGGAGGGAGCCUUUCAUUAAUUAUUUUAAACACAACAAACUCCCUGAAGAAAAGCCAAAACAAGUUAAGUUGAAAAAGGGGGCGAUGCAGUAUGCUUUCGUGAAUGAUACCUUCUAUAGAAGGUCUUAUGAUCAGUUAUGGUUGAGAUGUAUAUCACCAGAAGAAAUAAAACAGGUUAUGCAUGGAGUUCAUUCGGGUGUAUGUGGUGCCCACCAAUCUGGUCCCAAGAUGCGCCUCAAGAUUAAACACUUGGGCUACUAUUGGCCCACAAUGGUUCAAGAUUGUAUGGAAUAUGCUAGGAAAUGCCACCAAUGCCAAGUCCAUAGCGAUUUUAUUCACCAACAUCCGAACCCUUUACACCCAACAAUUACCUCUUGGCUGUUUGAUCUGUGGGGAACAGAUGUUAUAGGGCCAAUUAAUCCUUCCUCAUCCUGAGGGUACAAAUUUAUUCUCGCAGCAAUAGACUACUUCUCUAGAUGGGCUGAGGCUAUUCCUUUGAGAGAAGUUAAAGCGGAUAAUGUCAUAAAAAUUUUUAGAGAAAAUAUUUUGAACCGUUUCGGAGUUCCUCGUCGAAUUAUCUCUGACAAUGGCUCAGCCUUCAAAAGCUUUAAAGUUAGCAGAUUUGCCUCCCACCAUAAAAUCGACUGGCGAUAUUCGUCAAUUUAUAAUCCAAGAGCUAAUGGUUUGGCCGAAACUUUCAAUAAGACCCUGGUUAAACUUUUAAAGAAAAUUAUUGGUAAAAAUAAGAGGAAAUGGCACGACAAGAUUUCAGAUGCGCUCUGGGCUUACCGAACAACUUUUAAGACCCCCACUCAAGCCACACCUUAUUCUUUGAUUUUCAAAACUGAAGCUGUCCUUCCUCUGGAAAUAGAGCUGCCAUCACUAAUGUCACGCCCCAAGACCGCCAAUUUGGUCGGUUCGGAUCCGUACACAGACGCCGAACGAACAGAACCUCCUCUGUUCGCUUAAGGCUCAACAACAACAACUAAACAUGUGUAAUGAAAUGCCCAGAAAAAAAUUCAAUAUACAUGGCUCACACGAAGGUAAGCAACACAAGAAAGUGAAAGUAAACUAACUAAAUCAUUCAUGCAUUGUAUCUUGAUUACUUUAAAUCAAAUACAAAUCUUGCAUAAUUAUUACAUUCAUUCUUCCAACAUAUACAUCUGCCAUCUAUCAAAUGAAUAAUUUACAUUUGCUUUCAUCAACUAUAAAUAGAUGAAAUGUAUAAGGUACAACUAUACUCAAUGGAUGUAUGCUAUCUAUAGAGCGCUGUCCAAGUCACGAUCCUCAACCACCCGCACUAGCUAGAACCUGCAUGGUUAGUGGGGUGAGAACUACUGAAAGUUCCCAGUAGGUUCGGUUGCCGACCUCGCCGUCUCCCCCACUAGGUUUACUCAGGCAUAUGUUGAAAAGAAAAAGAACAGAUAGUAACUAACUAUAUUAUGUAGCUACUACAAUGCCUGUACAAAGCUGAAAGAAACAAUAUAUAACAUGUGAAAUUUAUGCAUGCCUGCUAUCAUAUACUAUUACCCAAUCAAUCUGGUUAACCAUUUGGUUAACUAUAACUCACCAACUCAAUCCCUACUAUCGGGGAGACGUCUGCUACAACUCGACGGGACCGUUUACUGGGGAGCACAUACUUGCUUCCCACCCAGUUGAUGACCACUCCGAAGCUCAUCGCCCAAGGAGGAGCGACCUUACCUCGAGUAUUAGACUAAUAUGAGUAUGAUCCAAUCGUCAUUUUGAGGAUACAAUGACAAUGCCACACUUUAACUAGCUCUUUAUGCUAGGUUUACAUGUUCAACUCUGAUUGCUAAUCAAUUCAUCUAGUUCUAAUGCCACACAUUUUACAAGUUCAUUGUUCUUGUUUAACAUUCACAAUACUUGAUGCCACUCAUGCCGUCUAUUCAUAAUAUCACUUGUUAACUAUUGUCAUAGUCAAUCCUUGUUCAUACAACUAUAGGGUUCUAUGUUUACUAUCCACUGUUCACAAGUAUUUUGCUUCCAAAGCAUUCAAUUAGACCACAUGUCAUAUAUCAAACUCAACCCUAUAAUGCAUGAAUAUCACUAAACAUAUACAUUACAUGUAUGCUCAAGAAAGACGACAUAAACAUAAUAGGCCAUUUGAUGACUUCGGAAAGCACCACCCAUCUUUAAAUGAUGCCAAGAUGCGAGAAAACUACUUCCCGCGAUUUAUGAAUGAUCCAAACCUUCGCUCGCGACAAACGAAGCUAAAAUGAGAUUUUUUCCUAACUAGCUUGCCGUAAGCUCGUCGGAACGCCGAUCUGAGCUUUCCAACGCGUCGGUUUUAUCCCCAAUUAGGUUUCUACACGAUCAAUACCAAGCUAGGCCUUUAAUCCUACAAGAUUGCGUUUUUAAGCUUUAGCUUAAUAAAAACUGUUUCUUUAUAGGUUUUAUAAGAACCUAUAGAUUAAUCCAAAUCUUAAUAACCCAAGAACCUCAAAACUAAAUAGUUUAGAGGAUUUACAUCAAUUCCUAACCAAAAAUCUGCAGGAUACUUGCUUUACUCCCAGCUGCCAACCUUCAUACAUGAUAUACAUAGCUUUUCUAUAAUUUUCAUGGCAACUUCAAGCCUUAGCAGCCCAAUAAACCCAAACUAAAUCCUCUUUAGAGUAGUCACAAUAAUCCCUAACAAAGAGAUCUCACAAACUUACCUCAGGUUUCAGGUUUUAACAAGUUACUUCUCAGCUGCCAACAUCCACAUGUAGGCUAUCCAUAGUGCAAUUACCAGCUUUCUACAUAGCAAUUUAAACUCCUAUAUGUUGUGAGCCUAUGAUUUUCUCUAAGGUCUUUCAUGGCAAAUAGGCUCUAUAGCAAUUAGAAACUCUAGUAAUCAAGAAUUCCAUUGUUUCACUCUUUUUUAUAGCAUAAAUAACAUCACUCUAACCAGGAAUGCACCUCACCUAGCCUCAAAUUUCGGCUACCAACUGAAUUCACAUAGUUCUACUAGGUUUCUUCAUAGAAUAACAUGCUAAUGGCAAGUUCUAAUCUGUAAUAGACCCAAAACUCAACCCUUUAUAUAUAAAAUAGACAUCAUAAGCCUAACCAAAAACAGCAAGCCUACCUCAAAUCUCAGCUUCAACCGGUUGCUUUCCUACUCCUAAAGCUCCUUCUCAGUUCAAAACUGCACUUUCAUCAAGAGCUUUCUUCAAACCCAUCCAUCGUUGGUUUAGACAGAGAGGAAGAAAGAAGUGAGAAGAAAAGAAAAGAGAGAGAGGUGGAUACAUAUGGAAGCUAUUGGAGGGUUGCUGGUUUAGAGAUAAGACCAGACAAAUGCCAAAAAUCCCUCCACAAAACAGGAAUUAACUCUUCUACAAAGCAGGAAUUCUGUUUAUAAAAUAGUCCCUGCAGCUUUUACAAAACAGUCUCUGCAGUUUCUUUUUGCACUUGACGGCGGCAGUAGCAGCAGCACUCAGCAGUAGCAGCAGCAAUUGCUCCUACGCCCUCACACAAUGCUGAAAUUUUGUUUUUACAUAUUGGUCCCUGCAGUUUUUUUUUAGUGCAAAAUCUGCACUUAGUGGCAGCUGGCAGCAGCAACAGCACACUCCGAAAUCGUUUUCUCGCAUCCACUACGUUCCGAACAUCUUCAAAUACUUCUAACACAUGCCCUUAUCAAUCCCCACGCCACCAAUUUAGCUAGGAAAUACCAAUUUACAUUCUUACAUUACUUUGAUCACUUUGAUCAAAGUUAGCUUCAGCUUCGGAGAUUCGAUAUAUGGUAUUCUAAACACCUUCAAAAUCUACCAUUAACCAUCCUCACACUUCCAAAAUAAUUAGGGAAUGUCACAAAUUAUACAUAUGCCUCACUUUGACCCAUUCAAUCAAAAUUAGCAUCGCAAUCCAAAAACUCUCUUUCGAGUUCAUUUCGCAUCCAAUUUGCACCGAAACAAUCAAUUACUUCCCAAAAUCAUUCCCACACCUCCAGAAUUACUCGGGAAAGAUGCACGUCCAGUUCAAACUUCACUUUGAUCCCCUAGAUCAAAGUUAGCAUUGUAACCUGAAAAUUUUCGUAUAUUACAAUCUCCUCCCGUUAACAAGAGUUUCGUCUGUGAAACUUAAAUACAUCUAUAGGCUCCUCUAUUCCUACUAAUGAGAAUAGUUUUCCACAUUACUUUUUUAAGUUUCAAAGGGUUUUAUACUCAAUACGUGUACUCCACUGCAUUAAUCUGAAGGCAAAAUAGUAAUGUGGAACUACUAUAUGCAAAAUAGUGUAAUUCUACAAUCUCUCAUUACAUUAAUUUGAAGGCAUAUCAAGUACUCUAUCCAUUCUUACUUUAGGGUGAAUGCCUUAUGCACAAUUAUGUAACAAAUUUGAAACAUGAUACUUAUUGUGCAAUCUUUCAACAUCAGUUGCCAUAUUUUUUAUAUUUCACCUUACCUAUACCUGAUGACAACAUCCCAAAAUGUCGCUUUCCAUUCUAACUCAAUAAUUCGUUUGCACACAGAACGGCGUACUCCUGUUACCACAUUCCUUCUAGGUAAAUUUUUUUUACCUUUACUGAUCAUGACUACAACACUCUUGAUUCCAGAGUGAUCUUUUCACUUAUCCUGCCCUCAUGAAUAGGGACUAAUCCAACUCUCAUUUAGGUAACAUACCUCAAACUGGCACUUGUUUCACAUAAUCAACACUUGUGCAAACUGUUUAUCAUACCCGUGUCAUCGUCAACUAUCAUUAUUGCCCCAAUUAUUCCUUGGUGAAACACACUUUGGUUUCCGACCGGCAUCGCUACAUGCGAUAUCUGAGCACAUCAUUCAAUCGCGAGUGCUCAACCACCCACGAGUUUCCACUCCUCAAUGAGAUGAUUCAUUCUAGCACAUCCAUCAACUCUAAUGAUUUGAGGCAUAGUCCUCUAAGAUCUCACGUGGCUUUCACUACACAACAAUCUCAAAAGAAUACUUUAUUUUACCAGCCACGUUCCACGCUAUAUCGACUUCUCAUCAUAAAUCUCGAUGAACACUUUGAUCAUGUCUCUAAUCUCAACUCAUCAUCAGCGCUUAAUUCGGCGAUUCAAAAUAGAUGAACAGUAGUACCGAGCCUUCGCUCACAAUGUCACUACUCUCGAUCCAUUGGGAUAAUUUCAACAUCUUCACUUCCGAAACAAUUGGCUAAACCUUUUGCCUCGAUUACUACAAGUGGUCCAUAACCAUCGAUCCGACAUAGGCCUAUCACCUAACACGAUCACAAUAUCACUCAGCGUAUCUUGCUCGCAAGCGUAGACCCAAUCAUCACAAGGCAGAGUCCUCAUUUGAGACCUCACACACCUACUCCAACCAGGAGCAAUUCAAAUCCCGAAUCACUACAAAUCUUAGGGUUGGUCAAACUUACACUUUCGGUACAUCACUAAUCACUCGAUCAAAUACGUGGCACACCACGUCUCCAGAUCCAAGCUCGGACUACCAUCUUGACCGAAAUCUCUGCCCUAUCCACAAAUAUCGGGCCGCUGCCACACAAAGCUAACUGCGCGUAUCCAAAUGGCCCUAGGCCUCACAGCGCACGCAUGGCCCAGGCACAGAUCAUCCAUAAGCAAUAUCCAUAAUCGUCGUCACCCACAACAUGCUCACAAAGCAACCCACAUCUUUAUUGGCUCUUACGCAUCUAGUGCGAGCCACCAGCGCCACGAGUGAUCCAUGACACACUUCACACUUAGCAACGCUCAAGUGCUACUGCCAACACACUCUCGACUGAGUCACAAUCCACACUCUACGGACACCUACACUUAAGCGUCCUACACCAUCACAUUUUUCACUAAACAUCACACGCUAGGCAACUCAACCUAUGCCCACAAUACACAAACACAAAUUCCCUCAUCUAUUUGAGGUACAACCCGACUAACUCGCCAAAACCAAGCGAUCGUCUAACCAACUUACGCACUAAGGACGCUAUUACCACUACGCGAUCCAUCAGAAUAUCAUUCGAAUUCUCGAGCUUUAGAGCGUCUUUCAACGCUCUGACCUGACUUUCACUAUCACUUUUAAUACCUAAAAAGGUCAGUUCACCAGUUCCAUUUGCAUUCUGAGCCCUAACAUUGGCUCACUACAAACCACUCAUUGGCACCAUCCAACUACCUAUUCAAACAAUAGGCGGUACAUUUCUACCAUCUACAUAUGCUAGGGUAUUAUCCACCCAAACCUAAGUCUCUAUAACAUUCUUGCACGUACUACUCGGAGUUCACAUCAUCCUCAAGCACACAGCCUUCUCAUAGGAGUCAAUCUACAACCGUUCUCAUUCUGCUUUCUGUGCCACAAAGCCAGGAUGCCACAUUACCUGACUUCACAGCCUUUUGAAGCUCAUUGAUCCAAUCCGCAAAACACAAGACAGCCUCCUGCUAACAUUGCAUCACAAUAACUCACCGCCACAGCACUACCACGAGUGUGGUCAACCUAUCCUAGAGCUUCAAGUUUCCUCCAAGCUCGGUCAGUUCAGGGACUUCACCAAUCCCAAACCACAUCGACCUCCUUAGAGAUCGGCUACACAAUACCACUAAACACACAACAACUUAACUAAUUUUUGACCUUCAAGGUGAAACACGAAACGACUAUCGUCAAUCCAUACUCAAAUCAGGCGAAAGUCAUACAAGGGAGCCUAUUCUCAUCACUCAGUUUCAUGUUGUUGCGCACCAACAUGAACACACCCUGUUGAGAAUAAAUUACACCUUGGAUUCACCUCUAACAUCCUUUUUAGACGUAUACAACACACGACCCAAUCGGUUUAACCUUUCACCACAUAUCAAGAUUCUCAUCUCUUAUGAACCUAGAUCCUUAUGGUUUUCCAUCCUAAGGUCCCUAGGUCCAUCCUAUACUUUCACAUGCAUUGCUCUAAUACUAUUUAAUCUGUCACGCCCCGAGACCGCUAAUUUGGUCGGUUCGGGUCCACACACAGAUGCCGAACGAACAGAACCUCCGCUGUUCGCUUAAGGCUCAACAACAACAACUAACAUGUAUAAGAAAAUGCCCAGAAAAAAUUUCAAUACAUGGCUCACAUGAAGGUAAGCAACACAAGCAAGAGAAAGUAAACUAACUAAACCAUUCAUACAUUGUAUCUUGAUUACUUUAAAUCAAAUACAAAGCUUGCAUAAUUAUUACAUUCAUUCUUCCAAUAUAUACAUUUGCCAUCUCUCAAAUGAAUAAUUUACAUUUGAUUUCAUCAACUAUAAAUAGAUGAAAUAUACAAGCUACAACUAUACUCAAUGGAUGUCUGUUAUCUAUGGAGCGCUGUCCAAGUCACGAUCCUCAACCACCCGCACGAGCUAGAACCUGCAUGGUUAGUAGGGUGAGAAUUACUGAAAGUUUCCAGUGGAUUCGACUGCCGAACUCGCCGACUCACCCACUAAGUUUACUCAGGCAUAUGUAGGAAAGAAAAGGAACAGAUAGUAACCAACUAUAUCAUGUAGCUAAUACAAUGUCUGUACAAAGCUGAAAGGAACAAUAUAUAACAUGUGAAAUUGAUGCAUGCAUGCUAUCAUAUUCCAUUACCCAAUCAAUCUGGUCAAGCCUUAGCCGCUCAAUAAACCCAAACUAAAUCCUCUUUAGAGUAGUCACAAUAAUCACUAACAAAGAGAUCUCACAAACUUAUCUCAGGUUUCAGGUUUCAACAAGUUACUUCUCAGCUACCAAUAUCCACAUGUAGGCUGUCCAUAGUGCAAUUCCCAGCUUUCUACAUAGCAAUUUAAACUCCUAUAUGCUGUCAGCAUAUGAUUUUCUCUAAGUUCUUUCAUGGCAAAUAGGCUUUAUAGCAAUUAGAAGCUCUAGUAAUCAAGAAUUCCAUUGUUUCACUCUUUUUUAUAGAGUAAAUAGCAUCACUCUAACCAGAAAUUCACCUCACCUAGCCUCAAAUUUCAUCUACCAACUGAAUUCACAUAGUUCUACUAGGUUUCUUCAUAGAAUUACAUGCUAAUAGCAAGUUCUAAUCUCCAAUAGAUCCAAAACUCAACCCUUUAUAAAGUAGACAUCAUAAGCCUAACCAAAAACAGCAAGCCUACCUCAAAUCUCGUCUUCAACAGGUUGCUUCCCUACUCCUAAAGCUCCUUCUCAGCUCAAAACUACACUUUCAUCAAGAGCUUUCUUUAAACCCAUCCAUGGUUGGUUUAGAAAGAGAGGAAGAAAGAAGUGAGAAGAAAGGAGAAGAGAGAGAGGUGGAUACAUAUGGAAGCUAUUGGAGGGUUGCUGGUUUAAAGAUAAGACCAGACAAGUGCCAAAGGCCCCUUCACAAAACAGGAAUUAACUCUUCUACAAAGUAGGAAUUCUGUUUACAAAACAGUCCGUGCAGCUUUUACAAAACAGUCCUUGCAAUUUCUUUUUGCACUUGACGGCAGUAGCAGCAGCAGCAGCUCUCGGCAGCAGCAGCAAUAGCAGCAGCAGCAGCAGCACUCAGCAGCAGCAGCAGCAAUUGCUCCUACGCUCUCACACAAUGCUGAAAUUCUAUUUUUACAGAUUGGUCCCUGUAGUUUUUUUUUUUAGUGCAAAAUCUGCACUUAGCGGCAGCUUGCAACAACAAUAGCACACUCCGAAAUCAUUUUCUCGCUUCCACUACGUUUCGAGCACCUCCAAAUAAUUCUAACACAUGCCCUUAUCAAUCCCCACGCCGCCAAUUUAGCAAGGGAAUACCAAUUUACAUUCUUGCAUUACUUUGAUCACUUUUAUCAAAGUUAGCUUCACCUUCGGAGAUUCGAUAUAUUGUAUUCUAAAGACAUUCAAAAUCUGCCAUAACCAUCCUCACACUUCCAAAAUGAUUAGGGGAUGUCACAAAUUAUACAUAUGCCUCACUUUGACCCAUUCAAUCAAAAUUAGCAUCGCAAUCCAAAAACUCUCUUUCGAGUUCAUUUCGCAUCCAAUUUGCACUAAAACAUUCAAUUACUUCCCAAAAUCAUUCCCACACCUCCAGAAUUAUCCGGGAAAGAUGCACGUCCAGUUCAAACUUCACUUUGAUCCCUUAGAUCAAAGUUAGCAUUGUAACUUGAAAAUUUCAGUAUAUUACAACUAAGGAUGGCGGUUCAAUACGAAAUGACAAACGAAGAAAAUAUUCUUUUGAGACUCGAUGAAUUGGAUUCAAUGGAUGAAAUGCGAUUGGCUGCGCAAUAGAACCUAAAACUUUAUCAGUCUCAAAUGUCAAGGGCUUACAACAAACUAGCACAUGUCCGAACUUUUCAGGGAGGAUAUUUAGUACUAAUUCACUGACGGCCUAUAAUUAUAAACAAAUAUGCUGGGGGCAAAUUUGAUCCAAAUUGGGAAGGUUCCUAUGUUAUAGAAAAAGUGAGGGAGGAACUUAUCAAUUAAUCGAUGCAAAAGGAGAAAUGCCGAAGCCACCGAUCAACGGACGAUUUUUGAAGAAAUACUAUCCGUAAAAAAAAAAAAAAGGAUAAAAGAAGAGAAAUCCGGCUAUGAAUAAAUUUCACGGGCAAAAAUGGAAUCCCUGCUGUGAGAAAACCUGCAUUUGGCUCACAGGCAAAAGUUAGGGGAAAGGUUUCUAGCAAAAACCCUCAUAGGCGCAGUUUCCAAUAAACCUAAAAUCCACACUUUUUUCUGCCGAUGAUGGAAUGCUAACUCACCCUUUGGAGUCGGUUAUGCGCAGCAAUCUCGAUAUACCGAGUUGCUUACGGAGGCCAAAUAAACUCAACAAUAUUCUUUGUUUUCCCUGCCGACGAUGGAAUGCUAACUCACCGUUUGGGGUCGGUUAUGCGCAGCAAUCUCGAUAUACUGAGUUGCUUCCGGAGGCCAAAUAAACUCAACAAUAUUCUUUGUUUCCUCUGUCGACGAUGGAAUGCUAACUCACCCUUUGGUAUUGGUUAUGUGCAGCAAUCUCGAUAUACCGAGUUGCUUCUGGAGGCCAAAUAAACUCAACAAUAUUCUUUGUUUUUCUUGCCGAUGAUGGAACGUUGACUCACCCUUUGGGGUCGAUUAUGCACAGCAAUCUUGAUAAACCGAGUUACUUCCGGAAGCCAAACAAACCCAAGAAAAUUCAAUUUUCCUUUAUUGCCGACGAUGGAAUGCUAACUCAUCUCUUCGGGGUCGAUUAUGCGCAGUAAUCUCGAAACACAGAAUUGCUCCUGGAGGUCAAACAAACUCAACAAAAUUCUUUAUCUUUCGCGCCAAUAAAAAAAAAUACUAGUUCAGCAUGUGAGGUUGAAUGUGCAAACAGAUAUCAGCAAACUGACUUUUUUCCCAAAAAAAAAGAAAAAAAGCAAAGAGAGAAUAUGUGAAAGGAAGAGAUAAUAAAAAGGGUUUGCACCUUUUUCUGCUCGCAAAAACACUCGCAGCAAAAGGUGGGGGGCAUUUUGUUUGAGUAAAAAAAAAAAGAAAAAUAAAAAAUAAUAAUAAUAAAAGGGGAAGAAAUGAAAAAAAAAGAAGAAGGAAAGAUAUAAAGAUUAAAAAAAAAAAAUCCCACCUCUUUCCAAAAAAAAAAAAACAAAGGAAAGAAAAGAUUCUAAGAAAAAAGAGUAAAAAAAAUCCAUAUCUUAUAUGGUCAAGGUACCAUUCCUUUUUGAAUUCUUUUUUGAAUAGUUUCCCAAAAAAAAAAAAAAAAGAAAAAGAGAAGUCAUUAGAGUUUAAUAUAAGUUGGCCUCUUUAAAAAAAAAAAAAAAAAAAAAANNNNNNNNNNNNNNNAAGGAGAGAGAACCGAAAGAGAAGAAAAAAAAAGAAGAACAGAAAGAAGAAGAAAAAAGAAAAGAAAAAAGGUGAAAAAAGAAAAGUUUUUUUUUAUACUCUCCCUCCCCCUCUCUCUCUCUCUCUCUCUCUCUCUCGCUCGCUCGCUCGCUCUCGCUCUCUCGCUCUCGCUCUCUCGCUCGGAUGCAUGCAUGAGGAGGGGGAAACCCCCUCCUUGACACGCUAGCAGAGGGAGUGCCAUGUGCACCCCCCCACCCCCUUUGUCCGUACCACAACAAAAGAAAAAAGAAAAAAAAAGGAUUCGGCUCUUGCAUUCGACGACAACGGCGACAACGACAAUCACGACAACUUUUACGACAAUAAGAGAUAUGCAUGCAUACGAAUAGCGUAAGUGCGAUUUUCUUGUCGGUUUGAUCAACCCGACCAUCUUCGUGAUAGGUUUCGAACCGAUCAAAUUUGACAUCAAAUCGUCACAUCCGCCGUGCGUAUGCAUCGCUAAUCUCUAAACCGUGCGGCCAUCUUCGCGAUAGGCUUGACAUGGUCAAAAUGAUUGAUCGAACACCGGAUAUUUUUCUACGUAAAUCGUGCGGCCAUUUUCGCGAUAGGCUCGACAUGGUCAAAAGGGUUGAUCGAGCGGCCAUCUUCGUGAUAGGUUCGACGCAAUCAAGCCUGUUUAUUUUACUACGUAAACCGUGCGGCUAUCUUCGCGAUAGGCUCAACAUGGUCGAAAGGGUGAAUCGAGCGGCCAUCUUCGUGAUAGGCUCAACACGAUUAAACCCCGCGUACUUGAGCAAAACGUGAUAAAAAAAUAUACAAUAAUAAAAAUGAUAAUAAAAAAAAAUGAAUGUAACAUAUCAGAUUUUGGUAUAAAAAUAAAAAUAAAUAAAAAUAGUGUGUGAUACUACUUUUAUUGGAUUUAGAGGAGUAAAACAUAAGUAAGAAGUGACUUGUGCAGAAAUCGGGAUGAAAACAGAAGAUCUAGAAUUUUCUGUUGGAAACGGGACAGAUAAAUUAGCAGAAAAUGCACAGUCUCAGAAAAUUAUAAAAAUUGGAGGAUAAGUCGAAAAUAUUUUUAGGAGGCUAGAUUUAAAGUUUCAUAUUAUUCUGACACCCGUAGAGUGAGAAAUAAAAUUCGAUAGCUAUCUGAUAAAGAUUACAGUUCGGUACAAUUUUCAGUGACCAAACGAGGUCGAAACUGAAAAUUUAAGAUAUAUUCUUACUCAGUACAUUAAACCGAGCCUGCCUGUCAAAUUUGAGCUCAAACGGACAUUCAGAAGGGCUCCAAUUGUUCCGAACUGCUAAACUGCUGCCCGAGGUGAAUAGUGAAUAGUUGAGGGGCUGAUUUGUAAAAAGGGAUUUAAUCCCUUUUCUUCUUCUUCCUCCCAGCCGCACACCACACACGCACACACACAACACACACGCAUGGAAAGGAAAAGAGAACCCUCCUUUCUCUCUCUAAAUCUCUCCCAAAAGAGAGGGUUUUGGUGGAGAUUGAAGCUCAAGGAUGGAUUUUCAUCUUCUCCAUCUUCUUCCUUGCAUGAGAAGCAAGCUUUGAAGGUAAGCUCCAAAACCCUUUAAUGGUGUCUCCUUGUAGUUUGGGUUUUAAGCUUCAAGAAUGGAUUUAGAGCUAUUCUAGCAUGCUAAAGAGAUGAUUGUUGCUUAAAUCAUGGAUCAAUUUAAUGAUUUCUUGCCUAGUUUUAAACCUAGGGCUUGAAAUGAGUUUUUUUGAACCCUCUCAUGGUAGAUCUUUAAAGCUUCAUUUAUAAUCCAUAGAAAUGGUUUAUUUGGAGUCCUAGCAUGCUAAAUAGAGGGUAAAUGUUAGAACCUAGGAUCAAUUUAGUUAAUUCUUGCAAUAGAUGAAACCUAGGGUUCAAAAUGCAAUUUUUGAAAAUAUAAGGGUUUGAUCUAAUUUGACCCUUUGUAAACCUAAUUGCUAGGUAAACAAACGCGUUGGCGAAGUCAGUUCGGCGAUUCGUCGAGCCAUUGCGAAGUUAUUAAAGAAACGGACGUUUAGGCUUCGUUUCCGCCUGGAGGGCCGAGGCGACAUCGUAAACUCAUGAAAAUGGAUUUGAAGCACCGUGGCGCAUAACCGAAGACCCAUAAUUCUCGGUGCCGCGAUUCGACGCACGGUUGGUGAGCAUUAGUAAAGUCGGGCCGAACCGGGUGCCGGGUGCCGUGGGAGGCCGAUUGCAAGUGUCGACAAGCAAUCGGAAUGCGAAAUAAGGUGGGUUGUGCUCACCGAAACGACUAGGUCGCCUAUAUGUCUAAGAGUAAUGGUUCUCUAGUUGAUGCAUAUAGUUGUGUUGGUAGGCUUAUAUAAUGAUAUGAAUGCUUGAAACAUACUAUGUAGUUGAGAUUACCUACCAAUGAGAUGAGAUGCAUAAUGAAUUAAAUACUAAAAGAAUGCAUGAGAUGCUUAGUAUGAACUAUUUUGGAUAAUGACUAUAUGUAUGUUGACAUAUCAUGUGAUGCUAGUGGUAUAUGUGCAUGAUGACAUAUUAUGAAUUAACAUAUUGUGGAUUAUGUUAAAUAGAAAAACAUACUUGAUGACAUAUUGUCAUAUUGUGGAACAUAGUAGAUGAAAAUGUAUGCAUGUUGAUAUACCUUGAGAUAUGAGUUGAUAUAUAUGCAUGUUGAUGUAUUGUGGACUACGUUAAAUAACAUAUGCAUGUUAAACUUGGGUCUAUACCUCUUGGAUGGUUAGAAAACUCGAUGUUGAAAAAUAAUGACGUAUGAACUAUGAUAUGCGACGUGGACAAUCUAUAUAUAUUAGAUCGAGUGGCAUAUGAUUAGUAUAGUGGAAACACUUAUGACAUGUUGAACACUUAGAAAACAAGUAUGGCAUGAGUCCAAGAAUAUAGUAGUGUAUAUGACACAAGUGAUAGUAAAGAAUGCAAAGAAAAGAAUGAUUGAAAUAUUAUGACAUUUCAACCCUAGAGUUAGGGUCAUUUGAACAUAGUCUUUCUAAAGUUAAGGAAUUGAUUGAACUUGGAGUCCUCAAAUGUAGGAUUGAUCAUACUCACUUUUAGUCCUUGCUCGAGGUUGUGGUAACUCUCCCUCGGGCGAUGUGCUCCGGAGUCGACAUCACUGGGUUAUAGCGAGUAUCUCCCCAGAAGACGGUCCCAUCGGGUCGUAGCGAGUAUCUCCCUGAUUAUUGGGAUUUUGAGUUUGUGAGUUUGUUGAGGGCAAAACCUUCGGGUUAGCCAAGAGAUUGGGUAACAAGCACAUGAGUUGUAGCAAUAUCCUAGUUGAGUGGACUUAAGGCUGAGGUGCAAGUGAGACGUCCUUCGCCUCGAGCCUGGCUUUAUGCGGUACUCUGCGAAUGAUUGACUCGAGACCGAGUCGUGUGGAUAGUUGAUAAAGGUAAAUGAGACCAUAUGAUCAGAAUUGUAAUUGAUAUGAAUUUAAAAUAGUGGAAUAACUUCGAAGUCAAUUGAAUGAGCUUUGAAUAGCAGGAUUAAAGUAGUAUCGAUUGAACUACUAAUUGGUUGCAUAAAUCGCAUGAUUUUCAUAUUGCAUAGUUGUGAGGCAUGACAUGUAUUUCAAUUAUCGCAUAUAUAUAUAUGUUGGAUAUUUGUUGGACUAACAUGUUGCAGUGCCUCCUUGGACCUGUGGGUCGAGCUCUUCCCUUGGGUGGCCGUACCCACUGGGAACUAUAUUUAUAUAGUUCUCACCCCCGUGUUGUUUUUGGGGGUACAGGUUCCCACGUGAGCGGCGCGGCGGCGCGAGGAGAGGGCGUAGCUCCGUAGAUAGCGCCCUACCACCGAGACCAGAGAUAGCGGUACCCUGAGUCGGCCUUUACUUAGGGAUGUAAGAAAAUGAAAAGAAUCAAGUUGUAAUAAUUUGUAAUAAAAGCUUGAUUGUAUUUGGAAGUUAAAUGUAAUGUGUAAUUAUGAUGUAAAAUAUAUCUAGUGGAUGUGAAUGCUUGUAAUAGCAAGUAAAUUAUGUUUUUGAUACUUCCUUAUGCAAUCUUUGAUUGAAAUGUGUUCCUAGUUGGAACUUUGUAUAUUGUAUUGAUUGCGACGCCUUGAACAUACAGGGGAGACACUGUCCGCGGUACCGUGGAA